rnacentral:lncRNA from 1 species
GUUUUUUUUUUUAGUUUUUCUAUUUAUAUAAGAAACAUGUCAAUAUCUAAACGAUAGACUUGACACGUAUCAUGAUCACGCGAGUUCAUAACUUUGAAAACCAUACUUUAUAUAUAAAAUUUAUUACAUGUGUUAUAAGAUUAUAAUGAGUAAAAUAUAUGACUAACUAUCAGAUUUUGAACUUUUAAAGAUGGGUCAAUAGUUGAACAAUUACUUUUUGUUGGUCUCGGAAAUUGAGCCAGGAUCCACGGGUCCUCCCAAACAGAGAUGGAUGUCCUUGAACCUACUCUUUUAAUAAGUCUUUUAUUAACCAGAGAUCUAGCUUAACAAAUACUUCUCCAGCCAUAAGACGGAGAGCAUGAUUUUAUAUUUUCCAAAGGAUUGGAUUUCCUAAAAUAUCUCCCUUUAAAAACCUUAAAAAAGAGAGUCCGAAGACGAAAUUAACCGCAAUAACUGUUUCGCAAGUAAGGCCGAAUCAAAAUCAUCUACAUCCCAAAAACCUAACCACCUUCCAAUUUACUAUUACACAGUUUAUUCCAAGCCAUCCAAUGCAUACCUCUAGAGUCACCAUUCGAGCUCCACCAAUACCUUGCUACCGCAUUUGUUAGUUUAGAAGUAAUUGUUUUCAAGAGCCUAAAGCAAGACAUCACAUAAGUUGGUAAUGCUGCAGCUACCGAUUUGAUCAUCACUUCUUUCUCUCCUAUCGAUAAGAAUAUAGCCAACUAGCCAUUUAUUCUACUUUGCAAUCUAUCUCUAACAAAGGAAAAAAGCUUUGUCUUAGAGCCCCCUAAACUUUCCGGUAGUCCGAGAUAAGAACCCAUGCCUCCAAUAUUAUGUAUACCCAGGGUCAAUUUAAUUUCUGUCUUUAUAGCAUCAUCUACUUUAUGCCCAAACUGCAUCGAUGAUUUUGUACAAUUUAUCAUUUGUCUCGAAACCGCUUCAUAUUGUUUUAAGAUAUCAAUAUUACUCCGCACUGUUCUUUAUCAGUUUUACAAAAGAAAAGAUUAUCAUCUGCAAAUAACAAGUGAGAAACUGAAGGGCUCGUUGUUGCUACUUAGAUACCCGUGAUCAAUUUUGGUUGUUCAGCUUUCCGGAUAUUUGUUGUUAGCACCUCAGUGCAGAGUAUGAAUAAGUAAGGAGAAAGUGGAUCUCCUUGUCUUAAUCCCCGUUCUGGUAUUAUUAGUCUUUUAGGUUGUCUAUUAAUAAGGUCCCUAUACUGGACUAAAGUAAUACACCACAUUAUCCAAGAUAUCAAUUUUUCGCAAAAUUCCAUCUUCCUUAAUAACUCCUUAACAAAAUUCCAUUCAACCCUAUCAUAUGCUUUACUCAUAUCUGUAUUGAUCUCCUGAAAGAGCUCUUUGAUCCGAAAAAUGUCCAGCUGAUAAGUGAUGUGCACUUGGGUGCGUCAAUAAGAGAUGAUAUCCCAGUUUGGCAUUUCACAAAAUCCGGAAACUAUAAAGUUAAAUCUGGCUACCAUAUAGCACGGAUGAAAAACUUGGUAAAUAAUUCAUCUUUUAUUGGUCCAGAAAUCAAAGCUCUAAAAUCACAUGUUUGGAAAUUGCAAUGUCCGCCUAAAUUACGUUAUUUUUUACGGCAAAUAUUAUCAGGCGUUGUACCGGUAACAAACAAUUUGAGGAAGAAAGGUAUAAUUUAUGAUUCAGGAUGUGUUAGAUGUGGCACUAUUAAGGAAACAGUAAACCAUAUAUUUUUCUAGUGUCAUCUAGCGAGACAAAUAUGGGCACUCUCGAAGAUUUCUACGGUCCCAGGGAUUUUUCCCACAAAUUCUAUUUAUGCGAAUUUGGAUCACUUAUUCUCAAGAAUCCCUUCAGAAUUUGAUUCAUCUGCAUAUCCAUGGAUAAUUUGGUAUAUUUGGAAAGUAAGGAAUGAAAAAGUAUUUGAAAAUGUGGAAAAAGAUCUAUUAGAUGUGUUAUGUCUAACUGAAAAAGAGGCACAAUCGUGGCAGUUAGCGCAAGCUGAGUUUAAUACUGAAAACCACGUUUCUAUGCAAUCGAAAUAACAAAUUCGAGUGAGUAAUAUCUCACAAGAUAAUACGUACUCUGGCUUUUGUUGUUUUGUGGACGGAUCUUGGAAAGAAAGCGACAAGUUUUCAGGACUAAGGUGGUUUUGCACAUCUUUAAAUAGAGAGGCGUCAACCAUGGGAGCUGCUAACCUGCGUAAAAGUCUAUCUCCUCUUUAUUCAGAAGUCGAAGCCCUACCUUGGGCAAUGAAGUGUAUGAUUGGUGUCGACAAGUAAGAAAUAACUUUUUUUAUAGACUGUUCAGACAAGUAAGAUGGUGUCUUCCCCAACAGAAUGGCCAUCAUUUUUAUCAUAUUUGGAGGAGUUUUAGACUGACAAGGAAAAAUUCAUUACCUUUUCUUUAUCUUUAAUUUUUCGUAAUACAAAUGUCAAGAUAGAUUAUUAAGCACGAAAAAUUCGUGUAGAACGCUACACAUUAUUUAUGUAAACAAUUUUUCACAGGUUCGUUUGUUUCCUAAAAAAUAUUUCAUGAUAAAAAAUAAAAAAUAAAUUAUAUGACUAAAUUGGGUUAACUCUAAAACAUAUUAUAAUUUCACCUAAAAUUUAGUAAAACCUUAUUAAAAUUUAUUUUAAAAGAUAUUAUAUUUUAACGUUAUUUAAUUGAAACAAAAAUGGUGUAAAACAUCAUUUAUAUUGAAAUAGAAGGAGUGUAUUGAAACAAUAAAAGUGUAAAUUAAUAUAGAUUUGAUACUAACCACUACAACUAAAAAUAUAAGAUUACAUAUAUAGUGCUCAUAUCAUAUAUAUAAAAUUUAGUUUAUAUUAUGCCAGUUCUUUAGCAUAGUGAAAGAAUGUUUCUACGUCCAUCAUAAAAUUCUAGAUUCGACAGUACUAUAGGUUCGUGGAAGAGAAAUAUUAUUUUUUAAAUAAACGUUUCCUCCUUACUAUUAUUUAAAACAUAAUUAUUCAGUUAAAAUAGUUUAAAGAGUUUCAUCAUAUAAUAAGGUGUGUAGUUUUUCUUCGUUUACUUAUUUAAUUAUAGUUCUCUAAAAACCUUUAAAUUAUUAUAUUCAUUGAAUAUAUUUAUAGAUCACACAUCAUAUGCAUGGAUAUUAUUUGGCCUUUCUUUUUUUGCUUUUGGUCUUUCUAUUUUCUUUUUCUCUUGUUGCAACAUUAGAUAAUUGAGAAAUAUAUCAAUGAUUCCCCAUUUUUCGGGCAGUACGUGGUGUCAGUUGUUAGACUAACCCCAUAGUGGUGAGCAAAUUAUUUUUCAUGGCAACAAUGAUAACAUAAUGUUCCAUAUCUACAUCCAAAUAUAGUUUACGAUAUUUAUCGAAACUAUUAAAGCAUGAGUUAUGUUGGAAAAUUGUAAAACUAAAUGGGUGCAUGUUACAAACUAACUGGUUUCCCUCAUGUAUAUUGGGGGCUAAAAGUACAAUAACUAAACGUUCACAAAAGAUUCAAAUAAAACAUCUGACCUUCAGUAACGAGUUCUUUGGAGACUGACCAGAGAGAAAUAUACACCCGUAGGACCUUUAGCUAACAAGGAAGAGUGUGUUCCACAUUCGACAACUUUCCCUUUGUCUAAAACAGUUAUCGUGUCACAGUUUUGAAUGGUGCUAAGCCUAUGAGCGAUCACAACACUUGUCCUUCCAACCAUCAAACGCCCGAGUGCAUCCUGCACCAUGCGCUCUGAUUGGUUGUCAAGAGCGCUCGUAGCUUCAUCAAGAAGCAACACUGAUGGGUUCUUCAAAACCGCACGAGCAAUCGCGAUCCUCUGUUUUUGACCACCAGAUAGUUGUACUCCUCUGUCUCCACAGUACGUAUCAUAGCCGUCCGAUAAUGUUACGAUGAAAUCAUGAGCGUUGGCUGCCUUGGCCGCCUCGAUAAUCUCUGACUCGUCAAUCUUGUCAGAUGCUCCUCCAUACAUGAUGUUCUCUCGGAUUGUCCCAGCAAAUAAUAUUGGCUCUUGGCUAACCAAACCUAUGUGUUGACGAAGUGAUCUCAAAUGAUAAGACCUUAUAUCACGACCAUCGAUCUUUACAAUACCCUUUAACGGGUCAUAAAACCGUUCGAUUAACCCGAUUAUAGUUGAUUUACCUGACCCGCUUGGACCCACUAUCGCUGUCGACUUUCCCUCGUCAAUAUCAAUGGAGAAGUUCUUAAAUAUAAUCACAUCAGGGCGUGUUGGGUACGCAAAGUCCACAUUGACAAACUUUAUUUGUCCCUUUAUGUUUUGUGGGACGAAACCAUCCGGUUUCUCCGGUUCAAUGUUUGUGUAACGAUCUAACACCGCAAAUACUGAUCCGACCGCAUCCGAGCCCUUGGCUAGAUCCAUCGUCAUUGCUCCCGCGUCCGCAAUAACCCGACCCGUACUCACAAAGAGUAUAAACAACUCAAAGAAUGCUUUUGACGUGAUCUUCCCAUCAAUAAUAAGUCUAGCACCGUACCAGUAAUUCAAAGCUGAAGUGCAUGUCAUGAGACUUCUAGAAGUUGCUAGCACAAUCCCUGCUAACCACGAUUGACGGAUAUUUUCUCUUUGUGGUCCUUCUUGAACCAUUUUGAGUAAUUUUAGGAUCCGUUCUUGUGACGAAAAUGCUGUUAUGGUUCGGAUGUUGGAUACAGCUUCUGCCGCUAGUUUGCUGCUCUCAUCUUGUGCUUUAAUGGCUUUUUUCGAUAUGCUUUUGAGUACAAUGCGUUGAGUGUAGAAGCAUCCAACAACCACUGGUUGUAUUGCAAUCAUCACAAUGGAUAAUUUCCAAGAAAUGGCCAAACCAAGUGUGCAAGCUACACUCACUGCUGAUAUAGUUUGUACCAACAACGACACUCGUUCACCAACAAGCGAUCUCACCUGUCAUAACAAAAUAUUAUGGAAUCAUUGGUAAAAAGGUUGAUUUGUAGAGUUUAAAUUAGUAAGACAGAAGACAUACCACGUUUGCGUCUUUGGCUAGUCUAGAGCAAAUUGAUCCGCUCGAGUUCUCGUCUUCAUCGAACCAGCUUACCUCAAAGGUCAAUAGCUUUGAGAGAAUAUUUUCUCGUAUACGUUUCGUUAGGUAUUCACCCAUGUAAGCAAAACUAUAUUGUUGAAUGAUACUGAUCAAGAAACAUAAAACAGCUAGACCAACGAAAAGCAACACAUAGAUCCUUGUUUUCUCCUUCAUCUCAUCAUGACUCGUUAGAAAAUACACUGACACCAUUGAUCCUGAAGCAUAUGCAUAAAUUGGGUGUAAGGCUCCAUACAAGACUGCACUUAAGCAACCAUACAAUGCAUGUUUCCACUCUGGUUUAUUCAUCGCCAUCAAUCUCUUAAAAGAUGGCUUCUUAUCCUUUGGAAUUGAACCAGCAAGAUUUGUAUCAAUGCUUGAAGUUGCGAAAAGGGAAGACCGACUUUGAAUAGAAAGUCUUGAACUAUACUUCACGUCUUUGUUGAAAUUUGAGAAUUGACCCUCUCGCAUACUUACGCUAACGUUAUCAUUUGAUUCUUCAUUUUCCAUGAUUUGUAAGCGGACUAGAGAAGUGUAUUGACCAUCUACAUUCUCCAUGAGCUCUUCGUGUGAUCCAGUUUCUACAAUCUGACCAUUUUUGAAUACACAUAUAACAUCAACAUUACGAAUAGUAGAGAGGCGGUGAGCAAUAACAAUAGUUGUACGACCAAUAGUGGCAUUGUCUAAGGCUUCUUGGACUACUCUUUCGGAUUCUGAAUCUAAUGCGCUUGUUGCCUCGUCUAGCAGUAGAAGUGUCGGUGAUUUGAUUAUCGCACGUGCAAUUGAAAUCCUUUGCUUCUGACCCCCUGACAUUUGCACUCCUCUCUCCCCAACCUUUUUUUGUAAAUAAGAAAAACUAAAUAUCCAUUUUGAGAAAGUUAAACAAUAAUCAAAUUUUCUAAAGUUGGAAUCUAACCUGAGUUUUGUAACCAAGAGGGAACUGAGAAAUGAAAUCAUGAGCAUUUGAGGACUUUGCAGCUUCCACUACUUCAUCAAAGGAUGCGUCCUCUUUACCAAAUAAUAUGUUCUCCUCUAUCGAUGUGGCGAAGAGUGCUGGCUCUUGGCUAACUAGACCCAUUUGUGAUCUCAACCAUUUCACUUGCAACUUUUUAAUAGACACACCAUCGAUAAGAAUCUCUCCUACGAUGGGGUCAUAAAAUCUUUGUAAAAGCGAUAUCACAGUUGAUUUUCCUGAUCCGCUUCCACCCACCAGAGCAACAGAUUUACCAGAUGGGAUUCUUAGACAUAAAUCAUCAAAGAUUGGUGUCUCGGGUCUUGAUGAGUACAUGAACUUCACAUGCUUAAACUGGACUUCUCCUUUAAUAUUCUCAAGAACUUGACCUCUCGGGUUGUCCGAAUCAAUAUCGGGAACUCUUUUUAUCACUUCAAUAAUCCUUUCCCCUGCUACAACCGCCUCGGAGAAAUAUUUGAGAUUCGACAAACCUCGACCAAGUGAUCUACGUAAGAUACAAAAUAUCAAAACUAUAAUAAGAAUACCAAAGAGCCUUAGACAUGUAUAUAUACUUACGUGCCACCAUAGGUGAUGCAUAUGAUGACUGCGAAGAUAGUACCGCCUUUAGCUCCAUGGUACAUAACCAUCCGACUUCCGUACCAAGUCAUGAACCCCCAAAUGGCGUAAGUGACACCAUUGCUCCCAAUGGCGAUUCCUUUAGCUAUUCCUUGUCUCAACCCUAGCUUCACUGAGCCUUCAAGCGCAGCUGAGAAUUUCGAUAUCAUCUUCCUCUCACUACCAAAUGCGUAGACGGUUCGCACCAACGAGAUGGCUUGCUCGGCAAUAGAACCAGCCUCAUUAUACUCUUCACGUAUUUUUCUCGAGAUGUUGAUGAGGGCUCGUCCGCACAUCAGUCCAGGGAUCAAGAGGAGGAUAAAGAACGGGAAACCUACUAUUGUUAGUCUCCACAGCAUGAUGAAACCCACGAUGUAGCUUGCGACAAACGCCGAUGCACUCAUCAAAAAAUUUGGUAACUGUUUGAAACAAAUAUAUAAAGUUUUCACUUGUGAGACCUUUUUCAAUAAAAGAAGCAACUAUAUUGAUUAUUUAGAGAUAUAAUGGUUAGACCUUUUCACUAAGGACGUCUUGGAUCACGAGGGUGUCACUAGAGACACUGGUGAUAACAUCAGAAGUGCUUGUAACAUGAAGAUCAAAGUAACCCACAUCUUGUCUUAACACUGCUCUUAAGUACUUCUCUCUCAUUCUUGAUGCUUGUCUCUCCCCUGUCCUAGUCCAGCAAUAUCCUUCUGUUUUGUUUGUAUUUGGAAAACCAUCCACAAAUUUCAAUAAAAUUUAUUAUGUUGAAAUGCACCAAAUUUAGCUUUCUUUUUGGUGUUAAACAUUAUCUAAAAAACUUACCAACGAAACAUAUCACCAAAGAUGCACCAGCGACAUAAAGCAAAGCUACGGCAUUCUGUUAUUUAGCCAAUGUUUGUGUAAGAAAAAACGAAUAUACAUUAGUACUCUUUUCUUAUAUAUGAUAAAUAUUAUUCACAACAAAGGGUUAUAGCUAGAUUUACUCCAUCUCACAACUCUCGUGGUUCCAUUUUUAAACCAAUUAGCAAUGAAUGAAAUAAAAUGAUUCAUAUCUCUUAUGUAUUAGAUUGGAUUUAUACACGACUCAUAAUUCCUAAACACAUGUCGUCAUUCAAUCUUGCUAAGACCAAGAACAGAGAACAUAGAAUAAAGAAGAGAGAAAAAGACCUUCAUGAUGGCAUGCAUGAAGGUUUUAUCACCGAAUGAGGAAUCACCGAUGUCGUUGAGUAGCAGCCCGGUGAUGAAAAAUAUUAUAGGAGUGAUGAAGCCAUCACCGACGGCUCCGAUUAAACCUAAUCCCAUCAGCACUAAAUCCACACUGUUCGCAUGCAUGAAUAUUGAUCUUACGCUUCCAAAACUCUUCAUGAUCUUCUUCCUUCUCCUUUUGCUUACUUUGGGUUUCGAAAAAAGAAAUACUAAACGACACAUUGACCUUGGGGAAACGACAACAUACAAAGUCCUCAUUUUUUAAGAGCAAAUGGCACUAUUAAUGAAGACUCUAAACUUAAUAUGUUAAAGAAAUCUAAAUUUUUCGAUUUUCACGUGUGUUGUAAUUUGUUCACGUCUUCCUGGUCAUUUUAUAUUGCAAGUAGCAGCAACCGGGAAGCGAGAGGCCGUUGGCUUUUCAAUGCUAACGAAAAAUAUAACAUGAUUUUAUAGCAUUUCAUAUAAACUAUUUUAAAUAUUUUCUUUCUUUUAAACUUAUGAGAUGCGUGGUUUUUAUCUUUAUACAUUUUCAGGUAAGAAACACAACAGUUUAUAUUAGAUAGCGCUGGCAAAUCAUUGCAGUGUUCUAAAACCUGGUUUUAGAAAAAACAUCUAAAGACUGAUUGAAAUUGAUUAGUUUCAGAUGUAAAUAUGUAAUUAAUUGGUCUUGGGUAGUUUUAGGCAGUUUUCAGCGGUUAUAGACAAUUAUGAAUCAAUUCCUAUACUUUUUUGGUAUUAGUUUUUAAUUUCUUUUUCUUUAUUUUUUACGAAAAAAAUAUUCUUAGUACAAUUAAGUUUAUAUAUAUAUUUUUAAAUAACUUCUAAUUUAAUUUUAGAAAAGCGUUCAAUUCUAACGCUUAAGAAAUAAUCAAUUUUAGUAAAUAGUCAGAAAACAUUCUAAAUUUGGGACAAACAUGCAAUGUGGUGGUUCUUCCGGAAGAAAUCCACACUAUUAAGCAUAUUGGUGCAUUUCUACCUGACCGGAUCAGCCGAUAGGAUUUAUGAAAUAAGAACUUUUGUUAUUGACUUAUUGUUAUCUAAUUCCUCAAUUAUAUUUACAUAUUUUCAUCUAUUGUGAAACUUUAAAUUUUCCCCACAAAAAUGGGUGCCCAUGCAAAUGUUUUAAGAUGCCACAUUCAUGGCAGACUCUAGUCAGUUCAAGACCAAUUUGAUCAUAAUAAAACAAAGUAAUAUAUAUGUACCAGAUAUGUCAUCAAUGUAUCAUUGACUUUAGCUGUUUUUGUAUAGUAAAACUAAAAUUAGUAUGAAACAAAGAGAAAUGUAUUAAUUCAAUAUAAAUUCACUGACCACUAUACAAUAGUUAGAAAAAUAUAUCGAGAGCUGUGCCUAAAACUUUUAAUGCCCCAAACAAACAAGAAAAGUGUAUAUAUAGUCUUUCAUCGAACUUUUAUAUCAUACAAUACAAAAAGUAAGUGACUUUGUUUUGUGAAAUAAAGUGCUUUUGCAAUGGUGAGAAAAUAAAGUGUUGUUAUUGUUAAAUAAGUUUUACGAAAUUAGAAACUUAUAUUAGUGAAUAUUUGAAUUAUUCAAAAAUGUUAUGAUAUUUUUGAGACCUUUGAAGUCGUGAUGAGAUUUUAGGGAGUCAUUAUGAGAUACUCGAUCAAGGUCGUUAUAAGACUUUUUAAGACUUUUUGGAUAUGAGAUAUCUGGGGUCGGUCAGGAACUUCUGUGUUUAAUCACAAGACCUAUGUGAAUUGGUUGUGUGAAAACGGAAUUGUAUGGUUAACAAAAAAAAUAAUUAUUAACCAUAACCUUGGCACUGAACGUACUAUGAGUCUAUAUAAGACUAGAAAGUAGAAACUGGUCCAACUACAACCAACUUAAGUUUACAUAUCGGGUCUUUAGGUAUGCGUUUAUAAACGUUAUUUAUGUAACUUACGAUUGUUCCAAUUCUGUUUUUAAAUUUGAGUAUGAACUGCAAAUGCAUGAUCAUAUGUUUUUAUCAAAUUUCUGAGUUCAAUUUUGAUAUAGCUUUAAUCUUAAAAUAAUUAAAAUCAUAUUUUUUUUUCUUCUGGAUAUUAAGAUGUUCUGGCCACAAUCCGUAAUCCACCAGAUCCAAAACCACAUCAUGUAAUAUUAGUUUUGUUCCAAGCGUCACUCGAACCGACGACAUCUAAACGUCGCAUAAGGUAUUUACCAAUUGAGCUAAUGACACUUGGUAAUCAAUUACUAUUAAACAUGAAAAAACAGUUUUAAAAUAUGUUUGGUCAUUGCAAGAUGUGUCUUUCAUUAAUAACUUGUCAAAACUAGGUGGUUGGUGUGGUCACAUAUGUCUUAUGGACUUAAUGAAUGUGUUAGUAUUGGCCUAUUGGGCUUAAAAAGUCCAUCUCCUUCUGAUCUCACUUCUAAACAUAGAGCUCCAUUGAAGGAGUUUGGUCCUCCAUGUGAAAUGCUUCCACCAGCUAAAAGACUCAUAUAAUUGAUCGUGAAGUCGUUGAAUUUACUAUGGAUGAUUCAAGAAUCACGGAGAGGUGCACGUGCCAAUGGGGAUCUCGAAGAUUGAAAUGACCGAAAUGUCUUCUCUAAGCACAAGAAAGGGAUCCAUAUUUUUUUUUGAUGUACCCUAUCGGCUGAUUUGGUUAGCUUUGUUAGGAAUGCACCGAAGUGUUAUAGAGUAGACUUCUCUCGAUACAGGUAGAAUUGAGCUACCAUACAGUCUGAUCCGAAUUUAUAAUGCUUUCCGACUAAUUAUAAGGGAUUGUAAGGCCGCCUACAUUUCUAACUAUCAUGUAAACCAGUUGGACAAAGACCCAAGUGACAGACUUCCCAAACAAAUGUAUUUUUGUUUUUAGGGAUAAUCGAACUUAGGUAUCAGAGUUUUACCAUUCACCAAAACUUUCUUUUGCCACUAAACAACAUAGGCUUGGGCAGGGAUCCACAUUUUUACACUAGAAAUUGCAAGUGAUCUUUGUUCAUUAUGAUGAAAGAGCUUCGUUCCUUUUUUUUUUUUAUCAUACACUCAAACACCCAAAAUCCAUAAGUGUGAAUCUCCGACUCCACAUGUACAACAAGUUAAUUUUCUUCACUGGUUUAUGUCAUUUAAUAUUUUGACUUACAUAGAAGAUUUAAAAUUUCGAAGAAGAUUAUAUUUUCGAUUUUUUGUUGUUAUGUAAAUUUUUUGAAUAUACUUUUGUGUUCUUAUGGCAUUACAUCAAAAAAAGAAGAUGCGAUCUUUUGAGCUAUUAGCUCAAACUCACAAAAGAAACGAAGCCAAAGAACGAACAAAACCGAACGAAUCUUAAGAUGAAAAAAAGAUUGUAGAGAGAAACUCUUAAACCAAACAAGUGACUUCCCGAACUAAAAAGCUACUGUCAGAGUCUUUUGGUCUCAUCUUCUGAUCAGUUUCUCUGUCUCUACCUCGUCUCGCAUCUAGCACCAAAUGUUGUCUAAACGUCGUGAUGAACGCUUCAACUCUCUCGUUCAACUCCUCAUUGGAUAACCUCCCUGGCUCAAAUUCAUCUUCUUCUCCAUUAUACUCUAUUUCUUUCUUGUGAAACAAGCAAUCUUUCACAGUUUCCUCAAAUUUAGGGCAAACUCUUUUCGUCUCCUCCACUAAAACACACUUCUUGAUCACUUCCUUUGGCUCAACAAGUAAGAAACCUUGGUCAAAACAAGCCGGUUCCACCACCACCCUUGUCUUCUUCUUCUUAAUCUUAUUCUUUUUCUCUCGCAUCAUUCUCAAUCUACCUCCUCGACGAGUCUUGAAAUCAUGACUCCUCCCGAGGUUAGGACGAGUCGAGGUAAAGUAAACGGCUAAGAGAACGACGUUGAGUAUAAGAAACACCAACGAACGCCAUUGCUCGAUCAAAUACGAUACAGAAGAGAAGUGUUUAAGACAAGCCAUUGAAAGAACAACAACUGCAGUCAACAAUGAAGUACACAUGUUCUCUUCCUCCACUCUAAUGUCUCUCUUCAUCUCCAUUGUUCUCUCUAUAUCUCUCUACUUUGCUCUGUUUCUUUUCUCCUUCCUCCGAUCGAUUCUUAUACGAAAUUUCAAGAUUCGUAAAACAAAUAUUUGGUGGGUCCGAUUGUGGAAGACCAAAUGGCGAACAGAAAGAACAAAAUGAAAAUGAAAAGACAUGAGAAGGAGAAGGAAGAAGAAGGUGGAGGAGACAAAGAACAAGCAUGCCCUUCAAAUCUGCUCUUAUUCUAGACAUAUUAUUAUUACUUUCUUCUCAGGCUUUUUCUCAUUUCCUUUGUUUCUUAUGUUUUUCUGCUUUUCUUGUUCCCUUUGUUUUCUCUUGGGGACCAUUUUCCUUAAACCAAUCAUUUUCAACUUCCACUAUAUGCAAAUUUAGUUUCAAUUUUUUUUUCAAUCUUAGUUUCCGGAAUAAAAAUAAUUUUAAAUAAAUUCUUCUAUUGCUUGUGGAUCGCUUCUUGCAAUGUUUACCAAAUGUUACGGCCACGGAUGCGGACACCCAUAGUUUGGUCUAGUUUGGUCUAGUUUGGUCUGUUGUUGUCUUGUUGACAUAGACCGAUCAAUUUAUAGCCCACAAAAAUAUUAUCCAUGCGGACGGAUCUAUUUAGGUAUGUUUAAAUACGUUUUACAGCUCUACUAAAAUACGCAAAUAUAAUGGCCAAAUAAUAUCAAUUGGGUUAUUGUUUUUUAGGGGAACAAAAAAAUUGAGAGAAGUGUUAGCUACUCAAAGUUAAGUUCAAUGGGAACUCUCAUGCAAAGCUGAGAGGAGGGAACAUUUUUGCAGGAUGUGAAAAUGUAAUGAAAACUUAUUUUUUUGGUUGAAAAAUCGAAUAACAAUUUUUGCUAUAAAAAUAAUAAUUGAGACACAUUACACGCCUGCUCCUAUCUGUCAUGUUAAUUCUCUCAUGGUAGUGUGUGGCCCCAUGUUUGUUCUUCUUUCCCAAACACAUGCGUUAUCUGUUUUGCAAAUGUUCUAAUCCCAAAACCUCGAAAUUUCGAAUUGCAUUGAGCAACUUUUAUACAAAAUUGUUUAACAUACAUUUACUGACAACUUUUAAAAUCUAGAUUCAUACAAAAAGUUUGAAUGUUUAUAAUUUAAUAAUAGUGUGUCCUAAACUCAAGAACUUACAUUAGAAAUCGUAAUUCGAAAGUUAAAGCUAUUUGCUUCUAAUGGUAGGCUUAAGACGGCUUCCAUUCUUUUCUUUUUUCUUGUUAAAACGGCUUAUGAGUCUGUCCCUCCCAUAAAGCAGUUUUAGGGCACCAAUAUAAAGAAAAUUUUAGAACUAUUUAUUCAAAAAGUUUGCUUUGGUUAGUUGGUUAUGUAUUUCAUCACUGAGUCAUAUGUGUUUGGUUUCAUUCCUUCAUGUUACAUUUUUUGUUGUUUUGUGAAGCGGGAGUUGAUUUUUUUUUUAAUCCAUUUGUUAAUUUUUGGUCCAAUUUUUUUUUUAUUAGGUAUUACCAAUAAAAUUUCCAAAUUUUUGAUUUAACUUGGUUAUUAGGUAGUACGACACAAAAUCAUACACUUUUCUUCUUCAUUUGCAUGAGGAUUGGUUUGAUUCCGUAGUUACUUCUGCAACAUUUCACCAUCCACUUGCGGUAUAUUAGUUCUUUCCGCAAAACUAGGUGUCAAAUGCCUCAAGGUUUGGUGCCCAAUGUUGUGAUAUAUAACAAUCUAAUAAUGCAUGUUUAUGAGGAAGAACAUAUCAGCUGAAUAAAGUUUGUUUCUUUUGGAGCUCAUUAAUGAAAUGAGAAUCUCCAUAUGUCGCAAACCUACAAUAUCUUGAUACAUAGGUAUAUGGUCGUUAGAUGAUAUGUCGAUGAAGCAAAUGGUAUUUUAUACAAUGAUGUUACAUUAAGACCACUAUUACAAAAAAAAAUAAAAAAAUAAUAAACGAAAACAAACAAACAAAAAAUGGACACGAAACUUGUGAAACAAGGUACCUGAAAACUGGGUACGUUGCAAGAAUCAUGGAAGCUGCUCCUAAGAGUGCAUCUAAAUUGCUUGGAGUUUAGUAUAUUCAAGAUGGGGAAGAUCAUUACCAAACUUUUGAAUGUGAGAUCUCAAACCCGACGAAGACAAAGUCGAUCGAUGAAGGCAAGGUAUCGGCAGUAUGAUGUUUCAUUGAUCUUCUAGCUGGUUUCUUUCAAGGUCAAACAAUGGCCUUAACCUUCUUUCUACCUCGCUGCAUUGUAGAUCGAUCUCACCUGCAACCAUUGAGUAAGCAGAGUGGCAAGAUUCAUCGUCCCUGAAUGCUAAUAUCCAUCUCCCAUCUACUAGACCUUUGGACUUGAGCUUCUCAUAGACUCCUCGCUUUGUUGGAUCCAACAACGGUAAUGUAGAUGGUCGGAUUCUCAAGUGUAGCCAUCUCGGGUGCUUUUCAUCUAUUCGGGGCUGAAAAGCAAACAAAAGAUGAUAGAGAUCAUGUACUAUGUUAAUAUUUCAGGCCUUCCUGUGGAUCUUCACGGGCAUUUUCGUUAAAGAAGAAGACAGUGAAGGUGAUUACGUACUUUGCAGCCGGCUAAAGGUGCCGUUACACGGACGAUUCCAUUAUCUGGAUCAGCAAGGACAAUCCAUCCAGACUCACCGGAUGAUAAUGCUAGAAAUGAGAAAUCUCGUUCCUUGCCUCUUUCAAAGGCAAUCCUACAGGGUACAGCAUCAACUGCACCAGGAAAUUGCAAAUAUUAGAUUACCUAUGGAUACCGAGACAAAUCAAUCAAACUGGAGUUCUAAGAAAUACAAGAGAUGACAUCAUGUAAUUGGUUAGAUGGUGUAAGUAGGAGAAGUAUAAAAGCAUCAUGCGCUAACCUAGCUUCAGUUCGGUGCCAGGUUUGGGGACUGAUACAUCCAGACCAGCUCUUGUGGCACGAGAAGUUUCAGAUCGGUCGGCUGGAGGAUAAAUAGGCGGCUGCUCGGGUAAGGACCUACCGAGCGAGAAAAUUUGGAGUUGAUGAAGAAGCACGAAAACCUAUAAGGAGGAAAGGGUUGAUAAUCAAAUGUCCGUAUUCAUAUACAUAAACGACAAGCGCUGAUAGAAAUAUAAAGAGAAAACGAUUAACAUACCUUUACCACCUCGCACAUUCUUUCACCAGCUGUGAAUGAUGAUUCGCUAACAGAGUUAUCUAUAAAAGAUCUUCAGGUGUUAAUGGUUUGCAUAAAUAGGGUUUCAACAAGGAAUGUCCAUAUCAUUCACAUUUGUCAUCAGCUAAUUGCGUAGAAUGUGUAAUAAAUAUCCUACCAUUAGAAGAGGAUCUAUCCAGCUGAAGAAGAACAGAUUUAGGCUCUUUUUGAGGGGAUGGAGCUUCGAUUACUGUCAAAAGAGAAUUGGUAUCAGAAUCAUUGAACAUAUUCUUACAAACGAAAUCCAACGUAUCCAAAAUUCGCUUCUUUACUUGCCUCUUUUGCACUUUCUCCACUCAUCAAGCAGUACCCUGAUGAGUAGAUCAGGCCAGAUACCUUUAAUUUCCCUGGUAAGGGAAUUUUUGCAUUUCUCAUACGAAACCUGCGAUAAGCAGGAGGUAAAUAAUCAAGAGAGGGAGAGGGGAAAGAGAAACAGUGGCAAACCGAAAAAAACAUCUUGAAAGCAACAUACAUUCAGCAUCUUGAGAUGUUUACGAUUAAAUUCUGCCUCACUAUAAGGAAGCAAUUGGCGUAAAAGCCAUCCUCCAUCCCAUAAUGUUUCUGCAGAUAUGUUUUCUCGGCAGAGAAGAGUGACCAAUGUAUCCACCACCUACACCAUAUUUGUAAUUAAAUUAAGACAAGAACUUUUGCACUGUUAUGAAAAAGAACCAAUCUUUAGCAUUUGGAAUUUCAGAAGAAGCUAGGCUAGUAGGUCAGGUUUACAAACAUUCAUAUUUACCUGAUGUCUAUGUACACGGGGGCACCUUGCAGCCCCAGGCAAUGAACAGCACACUCCAAACUGCUCCUGUUGAAGGUACUUGAACGAAUGAGUCAAUCACAGAAUAAUACAACACCAAAGAGAUGGAGUUUAAGAGAUGCAGUGAAGUACCUCCAACCUCCGUAGAUACCAAUCAAGUUCACUACUUAAGCCAUCUCUCAUGGAACCAUUUCGCGGUGAAAAUAGUUGUUCUUCACCAGUGUCCUCCCCAACCAAAGAUUGCUGUCAGAGAUAGCUACCAAUUAAGUUUUGAAUAAUAAGGAAAAAAGGUAGUCCAUAUUUUUUGGUCCAUGCUAAUAUGCUUUAGUAGAUGGUCAAGUAAAAGGUAUUAGUAACAAAAUCCAUGCAGAUGAGACUUUCCCUGGCAAAAUUUGCUGGAAAAUAUAUUACGCACAAGAAUAAAGGAUAAUGACAGAAACUCACCAGCAAAAGUUUUUUGUGCUGCUUACGCUGAGGAAGAAUGCCAAAAGCAUCUAGCAUUGACUCUUCAAGUUCUACCAAAAUCAGAAUUUAAGACGUCAAUACCAGAAAAGGCAAGAAGAAUCUGCACAAUGACAAUGCCACUGCCAAUACCUUUUGUCUGCAGCAGAGUGGCUAGCACAAACAAGGAACCCUGAGCUUGUACAUCAUCUCCUUCAGAAAUAUAUUGAAGUAAAGUCUCCCUAUUUACAAAGAAAAAAGAAAUAAAAAAACACAUAAGCUUAAUAGUAAAAAAAAAAAAAAGGACAAUACUAAGACAGCAACUAUCCCAACUUCAUUCAAGGUCUUAUUUGCUAACACUUUACCUAAACGUCAUAUGAGAAUUGUUGAAGAUACUUUUCGGAGUAUCUUCACUGCAUAAGUGGGAAUUUCCAUCGUCACUCAUGCCUGCCGCAGUGCUUGAACACUGUUGAUUUGCCUCCUCAGUAACACCCUUGUCUGGAUGCCCAUUUACAUAUGUAAGGCCUUCAGGAGCCAAGCUGCUAUUAGGUUUCACUAGGGAACUUGAAAUGAAUGCUUUUACAGGGCAGAAAAGAGUAGCAGCAGUCAUAUUUGCCAAAUCUUUGAUUUUAACUAUCCGCAGGAUGCAUGAAAGCAGAUAAAGAGAAGUGACAGGAUCAACUGAUAUGUCCUGAAAUAACCACAAAAUCAAUACUUUAGUGAACUAAAAAUAGAACUCUGGCAAAAAGUCAAACCUAACAAGGGUAAAAAAAACAAAAUCCCAAAGGAACAAAUAAGUCAACCCUGAAAAUAAAAUUAAGAGGAAAAGGUGAUAUUUGGUACAUUUACAGCCUCGGAGCAUAAAGACGGGAGAAGAAGUGGGAGAGUUAGAUGCUGCAGAAUGUGAUCUGUUAUCAGCCUCCCGAUAUCAGGUAUGCCAGCAGAGAUAACAUCACUAAAGUAGUACAAGGUGUCCUCAAUCCCAUCAACGGCAGAAAACAAUUUUCCACCUGAAUCCGGAGAUGGGCUUCUGUAGCAAAGAUUAAAUGAAAAUCUUUCAGAAUACAAUUUAUCCAAAUCAUACACAAACAAAAUAAGUAGGUAGAUGAAAAGGGGUUGUGAUAACUUAUUAUCAAUUUUACAAGCUAUUUCCCUGGGAAAUGAAAUUGCACUGAAUCUUACUUUAGAGUGUUCAAGACCAUUGCACUUAGAUCCAUGCAUUGCUUUUGGAAAAAUGAAAUUAAUUUUGAAAAGUACUCGGUGUGCGGUGGACUAACUACAUAAUCAUUCACAGAUUCAUCGCCAACUGCAAAAAACAAAUUAAAGGCAUCAGAAAUGUUGCUAAAGGUUCUGAUUACUUUUAUCAUACAAGUGACAAAUCUAAAGAACUAUUAGAAGUGACUGACCGUGAUAUACAUUAAGAGUCAGGGCACGAACUGCAGUGCGUAUCAUGUUCUCUUCAUGAAAUGCAAAUUGUAUGCCUUCGACAUAAAGGGGGAAAGAAACUACUACAUCCUAGACGCAGAAACGCAGAAUUAAAAUAAGGCAGAAAAAUCCAUAAAGGAAUAUAAAAGUUAAAGGAACAUGAAACAACAAGAAUACUCACGUUCUCGGUCUUCAAAAGCAACGAUAUUGUAUGCUUGUUCAGCUUCCCACUAACAGCUCUACAUAAAACAAACAAAACAGUUAAAAGACACAAUCGGUAAGUACUUCCUGAAGCCAAGAUAUCAGCCGGAAAAUUUACCUUAAGAAGGAUAUGUAGUAAGAUAGAAGCUCUUCGUGUUGGAAGUCAAAUGUAUAUGUUAUCAAAUAGUUUACAUAUUCGUUACUGAACAAGUAAUCUGCAAGGAGUUUCAAAAGAAAAUCAUCAAUAGACUAUAAUCAUGAGAAUUCUCAUAGAAAAAUAUACUGCAUCUGAUAAACUCACAGAUGGCUUGUUCACUUUUUAGGUUUUGGAUCAUUAUACUCAUGGUUUGCAACAACUGGACAGAAACUGUUACUGUCUUGCUAACCCUCAAAAUACGUACAAACUCUCCCAUUACUUGUUUCUCCAUAAAAAAUCUGCAACAAUCGCAAAUAUUAACAAAUGCCAAAAGAAAAAUCCAAAGGUGGCUGACUGAUAAUUAGCAAAAAAGACUCACUCAAAGAAUAAGGGGUCAUGCUGAUCCCCAUAAGUUAAUAUCUCCGCAAUCGAUCUCAGUGCCUCGAUAACGAGAUCCUUCAAAAAUGACACCCGGUAAACAGACAUCAAAGCCUAACAAAACAACAAUGCCAAGACAAUGUCCACUAACCUUAUUAGCCUCGUUUACUAUCUGAAUCUUUCUCAGCUGGUCAGUCAAAUACCUAUAUAAAAACCAAAACUUUCAACACUUACUAUGUUUCAUCAUCAUCUGGUAUAACAACUAAUGUCGUAACACUACGAUCACAAUGAACUUUCUGAGAACAAAUCAUUCUCCUACAAUGGUCAACAUAGUCCCUUUGACCCCUGAGACUAGGGAAGAUGAACUUAUAUAGUUUCCCUACAAUGGCACCACUCAAAUCAUCAACCCUAGCAAACUACUUGCAAACUACCAAUUCAACAAACACCCUUAAAAGAAACAUUUUUCCCCCACAAUCAAAGGAUAAUCUCAGCCACAAUUCAAAUGAACCAAAAGAGAGAUAAAUCGGAAAAAAAAACUGAAACUUGUUGUAAAACCAAAGGCGAUCAAAGAAACCUGAGUUCGGCUAAGGAGAAUCGAUCUCUGGGUCUUAAGAAGGAAAGCCACAUGAUUGUUUAAAUCAAUCCUUUGGAAAGUUCCAGUCUUCUUCUCUGGAUCAUCCUUCACUCUCGAGAAAACCCAAUUUCCAUUAUUGCUUCUCGUCGAUUAAACCAAAUUCCACAAACUCUGACGAAAUCUCUGAUCCAGGGAUCAAAAUCAUACAAAAUCAAAUCGUAUAUCGAGGGGAAUAAAAAGUUCGAAUUUUUCGAAUGAUUGUUUAGAUGUUUCUUCCGGUAAAACAACAGAGAUUGAUGACGGCAAUUGCGAAUUGAAGCACCGAUGUGGGUUGAGAGCUGGCGUUGGAUUUGGAUUCGGAUUCGGAUCCGGGUCGGGUUCAAUCUCGAAUUCAAAGAAAGAAUCUUCAAUUGAAAGAUCCGUCUUUCGCAUUUAAUUUAAUUUAAGGGGAACAUUUAUUUUUCACGUUGGACCCUCUGACUAGAGAAGAGGCUUCUCGAUAAUCAAUGACUCACAACUGCCACGUCAUACACAUUAUUAUUUACAAAACUAAAUUGUUUGUUGUCAUUAUAACAUUGGUGAUUUGCAGAAAUGACCAUGUUUGAUAAUUUAUUUAAGAAUAUAGCAUUUUAAUAUAUAAAACUAAGUAAAUAACACUAGAGAGGGAUGAAAAGUUAAGUAACUCCUCAUUAAAACAUGAGAACACGCGCGUGAAAAGAGAAGAAGAGUGACGUGAUCCUUGACACUCUUUUCGGUUUAUGGACAUAAAUAAAAGAGAAAAGUGUUGGCUAGCGUGAUGGUGGCGAAGAUGGCGAUGAUGGUAAUAGUAACAAUGACAGUACCGAUGGUGAUGGUGACGACAACAGUGGCGGUGCCGAUGGUAAUAGUGAUGAUAACAGCGACGGUGCCGAUGGCGAUAGUAAGACAACAGUGGCGGUGCCGGUGGCGAUGGUGACGACAACAGUGGCGGUACCGGUGGUGAUGGUGACGGCAACAAUGGCGGUGUCAGUGGCGAUGGUGACUACAAUGGCGGUGCCGGUGACGAAAAGAUAAUUACAAAUAUAUAUUGAUUUAAGAAAACUAAACCCUAAGAUACUAUACAUGGAACCCAAACAAAAAUCAUUAAACGAAAUGAAAUCAUCUCAAGUUUCAAUUUUCAAAAAUCUAGCAGCAAAAUAGAAUAGUACAAUGGUGAUGAUAGCUUCGGUGACGAUUUUCCGGUGAUGAUGACUCCGGUGACGAUUUUCCGGCGAUGGUGGCUUCGGAUACGAUUUUCCGGCGAUAAUGGCUUUAAAAGUAGUGGUGGUUGUGGUGGUUGUGGAAGAAAAGAAGAAAGAAGAGAGAAGAUGUUCAUGCAGAAGAAAGAAGAAGAAGAGGAUAUAAUUGUAUUUAUUACAUAUAAUAUACACAAUAUCACCUUAUGGUUUUUGAAGUGUUAGUUUCCAAAUUAUUAAAUUUUUUUAGGUUAUACUUGCAAAUUUCCCUUAUAAUAUUUACAAAUGGCAAAAAAAUGAUUGGAAUGACUCAGAACUCUAUCAAAAACGUUUACUUAGAUUUAAACUAGCUAGUAGUAUAAAGAAGACCACUCUAUUUGUUUAUUUCCUAGUAAAGUAACGAAUUAUUUCUUCUUGAGAUUCUCCCACAAUUGUGUGCCAACAUCAAACAAAACAAUACAAAAGUUUAUAAAGGCAUGACUAAAAAUGUUAUGAAGUUUUGACCAUUGUAUUUCACAUCAUGAAGUUUUCUUGUUAAGCUUGUUUUAGUUAAGUAUUUCAUGUAUUAUUUCUCACCACGAUACAUCUAAUCUGACGUACUGAAUUUCAAAACUUUUGAUUUGUAGCAUUUUAUCUAAUAAAUUACAAGUUAAUUCUACAAAAAUUGAAACCCAUUCCAUCGAAUGCGUGGUUUAAGUCCCAAAUUUUUAUCUUCUAGAUUUUUAAAAUUUUUAAUUUUAAACAAAAUUAAAAUAAAAAACGAUUUUACAAGAGAAAGUUUUUGCCUUUUCGAGAAGAACCGCAACCUUCCCACAAUCUAGAAAUCAAUCUCCACUUCUCAACAAUGGAACAAAAAUCUUUUAUAUCUCUCGAAUUCAACAAUGGAACAAAAAGCUUUCCUUAAAACAAAAUUUUUUUAUGUCAAACCAUACGAGCACAAAAGACAGAUAAGUCUUUUGUUAUUCUAUAUUUGAUUUGAGCCAGAAGGAAUAUCUUUGCCAAAACGACCAAAGGCAAAGCCCAUUUUGUGAUUGCCAAGAGCAACUUAUCAGUAAAAGGUUAAAACAUAGUCAAAUUAAACCGGUAAGUGUUGGACUUUGGAAUCCAAGAUAAUUACCAAGAGAACCAAGGAUUCCACCAAAUAAAAAUAUAUCUAUUGUUGUAGUUUAGUAUACAAAUAAAUAUUUUAUUAAAAUAAUACUAAAUUAGUAACUAAUUUCAUUUAUCACCAAAGUGAUUACAAUAGAAUAAUCUAUAACUUUUUGAGUGCAUCUAUAAAAAAUGUCACUUAAGUAAUAGCCACAAUCCAUUAGUAUAAAUUUUCGUUUGUUGAAAAACGAAGGCCACUAGGGUGAAAGAUGAUUAUGCUAAGGUAUAUUCACAUCAAAAUAUAUGGUGGUUCUAUCAUUUUCAUUGUAGUUGUGUUCGUAUAUAGGUUAGGUUAGUUAAAAACUAUUUAAACUUUGUCAUGAAUAUUCCUAUAUAAAAGUGCAUAUUUGACCAUACCAAACCCAUACAUACCUAACCGGCUAAACCCCAUUUGCUCUAACAAAAGGUCUACGGUGACAACACCACACGCACGCAUAUGCAAUAAUAGUAUUAACUAUUAAGUAUAUGAAAUACAUAUGAAUAUAUGCUUCUUCUUUUUUUGUUAACUAGGGAAAAUCUAGAAAUCUAGACCAAUGCCUAAACUAAUUUUCGAAAUACAGAAAUCGAAUUUUCUUUCCACUAGAAACGUUUACGGGUGGCUAAUCUGUGACUGUGAGACAUAUACAUUUCUCAUGAUAUGUUGAUAUUAAGUGAGGUUGAGGCUGUGUCAAAAAAAAAAGAAAAAAAAAAGUGAGGUUGAGGUUUUGAAUCUAAGCAAAGAAAGAUCAUACACAAACUCCAUUGAGAUGCAAAUUUAUCUCUCCUAAUCCACUUAGAUCAUCCUCAAGGACGUAUACAUAAUGUAUUAUGAAUUAGAUAUUUCACCUUCGUGUCCACUACACUUCAUUGGUAACAAAUACUCUCUCUGAAUUUGAGGUUUUGAGUUUUGCACAUCUAUUAAGAAAAAGUAAAUUUUAUAUUUUUAGUUAUUAUUUUGUUAGUUUAAUAAUAUUAUUAUUAUUUAUCUCAUUCUUUUAUUGGUCACAAACUAAAUUAAUGAUGAUACUUUUACAGAACAUUAAUCUUAAUGGAAUAAAUUAAAAAUUCAAAACAUUAAAUUUCUUGGAACAGAUGGAGUAUAUCAUUAGGACUAAUGAUUGCAGAUAGUGUGUAAUCCAACUAUAUCAUUUGGACUAAUAAUUGCAACUAGUGUUUUAAGAAGAAUAAGUUCUAGCUAGUAAUUAUAAAUGACGUUUAUCGAGAUAUCUUGGAUAAUGGAAUUAAACUUUUAAGCGUCUUCCUUGUAUCCAAUGAAUUUUUAUAAUUUUAUCAAAUUAAACAUGCCAGUUUUAAUGCUAUUGUCAUCUUGUUGUUAUAAAAAUAUCACACUCCAAAAAGAUUGUAAGAAUCCUUAAAUAUCAAAAUUAACCAAUAAAAAUAACUACCAUCAUGGUUGACAGAAAAAAAAUUUAACUACCACUCGGUUCACAACAAGCAUAUGAUUUACUGCAAAAGCUCACCAUAAUAUAUAUGAAUCGUUUCCGUGACUUUUUCCAAAACAAUAUAAAGACGGUCGUAAAACUUUAUCAUCUGCGUAAAUUGUUGUAACAAAGUUUUUUUAAUUGUUUCUAUUUAUGUGAUUUUCUAAUUUUAGAUCUAUUAUAUUUAUCAAAACUUUAGGGUUUUAUAUGUUUAUUUUUGGGUUUUUUGAGUUAUGAGUCCAUGAGUUUGCUCAAUUUGAGCUUAAUACUGAAAACACGGUUCUGUAGAAUCGAAAAAACAAAUUCGGAUAAAGGAUAUAUCACAUAAUAUUUGUUUCGUUUUUCGUUGUUUUGUCGACGGAUCAUGGAAAGGAAAUGACAAGUUUUAUGGAUAAGAGUGAUUUUGCACCUUAUUAAAUAGGAAGUCGCUAACCAUGGGAGUUGCUAAUUUGCGUAGAAGUCUAUCUCCACUACAUAAAGAAGUCGAAGCUGUACUCUGGAUGAUGAAGUGUAUGAUUGGUGCCGACAACCAAAAAAUAACUUUUUUUACAGACUGUUCAGACUUGGUGAAGAUGGUGUUUUCUCCAACCGAAUGAUUAGCAUUUUCAAUAUAUGUGGAAGAGUUCUAGAGCGACAAGGAAAAAUUCACAAGUUUCCCUAUAUUUUUAAAUUCUCGAACUGCAAAUGUUAUAGCGGACAAUUUGAUAAGAAAAAUUCAUACUGAACCGUUACAUAUUACAUAUGGAAAUAAUUUAUUUAAAAAUUGGCUUUUCUAACUUUUAAAAAAAAAUUUGAUGAUAAAAAAAAAAGUUACAAAUCCGAAAUUAAUUAUGAAGAAAAAGAAAAGAGUCCGAAAAUAAUCAACAUAAUGUUUAUGUAAAAUGAUCUAUCUAUAAGAUAAGUCAACUUAAGGUAAAAAAACAAAUUAUAUUUCAAAUCGAACAAACUAGUCGAAUAAAAAAGAAAUUCAACUACAAAAAAGACUAGACAAUGAUGGAAUUUUGUUAUAAUUUGCUUUGAAAACUUUACUUAAAAAUUACUAUAAUAAUAAUAAUAAUUAAAAAAUGACAUCAAAGUCGACGACUACUCUAUAAUCCUUGCGACGACCGUUCAACACGUCUGACUUACAUAUUGUCUCUCUGCAACUUUUCAUUGGCAGAUACACAAAAUCUUUAAUUCUUAAUCCAAACCCAGAAACAACCUCUGAAACCACUUCAUCAUCCAUGAAAGAGAUCGGCUCAAAACCAAGAAAGUUACUUCCUUUAUGCUUCAUCAUCUUCCUCUGUUUUUGUUCCUCUGUUAUGGCUGCAGAUGAAGACGACAUAAGAUGCUUAAGAGGACUCAAAGCAUCUCUCACAGAUCCUCAAAACGCGUUGAAAUCAUGGAACUUCGACAACACAACUCUUGGGUUUCUCUGUAACUUCGUUGGUGUGUCUUGUUGGAACAAUCAGGAGAAUAGGGUUAUCAAUCUUGAGCUUCGUGAUAUGGGUUUAUCUGGUAAAAUCCCAGAUUCUCUUCAAUACUGUGCGAGUUUACAAAAACUUGAUCUUUCUAGUAAUCGAUUGUCUGGUAAUAUCCCUACAGAGUUGUGUAAUUGGUUACCUUUUUUGGUAUCUCUUGAUUUGUCAAACAAUGAAUUGAAUGGUGAGAUUCCUCCUGAUUUAGCUAAGUGUAGCUUUGUGAAUUCUUUGGUUUUGUCUGAUAACCGGCUUUCGGGUCAAAUCCCGGUUCAGUUCUCGGCUUUAGGGAGGUUAGGGAGGUUCUCUGUUGCUAAUAAUGAUCUCUCAGGUCGCAUUCCUGUGUUCUUUAGCUCACCGAGUUAUUCCUCUGAUGAUUUUAGUGGGAAUAAAGGUCUUUGUGGUCGUCCUUUAUCUUCGAGUUGUGGUGGUUUAAGUAAGAAGAAUCUUGGGAUAAUAAUUGCAGCUGGUGUGUUUGGUGCUGCUGCAUCAAUGUUGUUAGCUUUUGGGAUUUGGUGGUAUUAUCAUUUGAAGUGGACAAGGAGACGAAGAAGCGGUUUAACCGAAGUAGGAGUUAGCGGUUUAGCGCAGAGACUUCGUAGUCAUAAGCUUACUCAAGUGUCUUUGUUUCAGAAGCCUUUGGUUAAAGUUAAACUUGGGGAUUUGAUGGCUGCAACUAAUAACUUCAACUCAGAGAACAUUAUUGUUUCCACUAGGACUGGGACUACCUAUAAGGCGCUUCUUCCGGAUGGUUCAGCGCUUGCGGUGAAGCAUUUGAGUACGUGUAAGCUCGGGGAAAGGGAGUUUCGGUAUGAGAUGAAUCAGCUAUGGGAGCUUCGUCAUUCUAACUUAGCACCGCUUCUUGGUUUCUGCGUUGUGGAAGAAGAGAAGUUUCUUGUUUACAAGUAUAUGUCUAAUGGGACACUUCACUCGUUGUUGGAUUCAAAUAGGGGUGAAUUAGAUUGGUCGACUCGGUUUAGGAUUGGUUUAGGUGCUGCAAGAGGUUUAGCUUGGCUUCACCAUGGAUGUCGACCUCCAAUUCUACACCAAAACAUUUGUUCAAGUGUGAUUCUCAUUGACGAGGAUUUCGAUGCAAGGAUAAUAGAUUCAGGGCUUGCAAGGCUUAUGGUUCCCUCGGAUAACAAUGAGAGUAGUUUCAUGACUGGUGACUUAGGAGAGUUUGGUUAUGUAGCUCCUGAAUAUUCUACCACAAUGCUAGCAUCAUUAAAAGGUGAUGUAUAUGGACUCGGUGUUGUCCUCUUGGAGUUGGCUACAGGGCUAAAAGCUGUAGGAGGUGAAGGUUUUAAAGGGAGUUUGGUGGAUUGGGUGAAACAGCUUGAAAGCUCAGGUAGAAUCGCUGAGACAUUCGAUGAAAACAUUCGAGGGAAAGGACAUGACGAAGAGAUCUCGAAAUUUGUUGAGAUUGCUCUUAACUGUGUGAGUUCAAGACCUAAAGAGAGAUGGUCAAUGUUUCAGGCAUACCAGUCACUGAAAGCUAUUGCUGAGAAACAAGGCUAUUCGUUCUCCGAACAAGACGACGACUUCCCUUUGAUUUUCGACACGCAAGAGAACGAGAAAGUGUGAAAAUGAACCUUUUAUGAUACGAGGAGGAAGUAAGAGUAUAAUUAUUUGUUGUCUAUAUCAUCUUGUACUACUUGUAGAGACACUAUAUGUUAUUGUAAAAACAGAAAUGUAUAUGUUAUUUGUUUUCUCUUGUGUCAAAGUCUUUAGACAUGUUAUGUGUUGCAAGUGUGUCUUUCUAUAGUAUUGGAAGAGUGACAAAAUAAUUUUUUCACUUGUAUUUUCUUUUAAGAACAAAAAGAAAGUGAACAACAGGAUAAAGAAGAUGUCUCUGCAGAAUCUUACUUUAGGGGUCUGCUUCUCGAUACAGUCAAAAUCAAUCCCAGAAAAGAAGCUAAAGAAGGCAAGAAAGAAAGAGAAAGACAAGUUUUUAGCAUCUAUGGUCACUCACUCCUUUUGAAUUUCACUUUGUAAGAUGCUAUCAAAAUUACACAGAGAAUAUAAGAUUCCCAAAGUUCACAAGAACCCAAAAAUGAAAAUGUAUGUGAUUCUAAAGUUGUGCAAGGACAAGCCUUGUAUUAAGAUGCAAAUAUCAUUGGAGUGGGAGAAUGAUUUUUGAAAAUGGAGCAACUUUAGUUUAAUGGUUUUUUGCUUUAGCCAGAGGAAACAUAAAAAAGCAAACUUUAAAGUUAACAGAUUCUAAAACAAAAGGCAAAUAAAGAAAGAUGAGGAAAACAGGAAACAGAGAGUUAGAUAAAGACAUAAGCCUAUAAUAACUAAAUACAAAUGUUAUUACAAAAACUCUUAAGAAGUCUUUAAUAUCUUAGCAACAAUCUUCUGAAUGAUUUUCAAUCUUUAGACACAAUGUUCCAAAACGAAAGAGAGAGCAGAGACUUCACCUUCCAAAAUUCUACAGAGCAAGACUUCACAAAGCUAUGAGUUCAUAGCAUAUCUCUAACAUCUGAAGUUAAUGAUUGCCUCAGAAAAAAUAGUAGCUUCUUGACGUGGAAACGUAAUUGAGAGGUUGAAUACUUCACUGUGUCUUGAGACGGUAGAAAAACCCGAAAAUGAACGAAGCCCGCAUGACAUAAACAUUACAGUCAAUAUCAUACUCUUGGUGGCCGUCUCGAAGUUUCUGCUUUCCUGAAGAAAUAGAUUUGAAACAAAAGCUUAUUAAAGUAGAGUUCUUUCUGCAGUAAUAAACUUUAACUAAAGUGGUCAAAGUUCUUCACAAGUGCCUUUAAUUCUUCUCUAAGGCUUUAAAAUUAGAUAAAGAAGAAGCUUUUACUAAAACAUGAUAACAUUGUCUGCUUUCAAAAGACGAGCUCUUUAAUGUACACAAAAUGUAUAGUGACACUGAAAAGAAGGAAAGAACAAGAAUUCUGCAUGCUAAUAAUCUUUUUAGAAACCAGUGAUUAUCGGUAUCUGUGUAUACAGUGACAACAAAAAAACUUGAACAGAGGAAACACUAAUAUUGGAUGAUUAGUUUUUGUAUAAACGAACUUUAAACAAACUUCAUGACAAAGUUCUCAAAACGCUUGAUCUCUGGUAGCAAACUCAAAGAAGCAAAAGUAAAAGAUUGAAAAUUCGAGAGAGAAGGGAUAAGAACCUGUUGUGGAUAGGAUCAGGUCCAUUAGGAACUUUUCGCUUGCUUACAUGAAACAGAUUCACAUCCUUACCACUAAACCGCAAAGUCUUGACAUUUUCUGAUGAUGGAACACUUGGUGCAGAGUUUGCUAAGAUACCGACAAGAAGAAACACAAUCAAACCCAAAGAUGCAAUCACUCCAACCAAAGCUCUAAUGCCAUUUCCACCCAUACUGAAACCUAUGUCCCUACAGCUUCCUGUUUAACAUAAACAACUGACCAACCAAACCCAAGAAUAAACUGAGCAGAACAUCCAUGAUGUUGGUGAAGUGACUGUCACAUAAAUAGAGAGAGAUAUCUUUGGACAGAAGAGGCUCAAAAAAGGGGAAAGCGAAAUGGGAAGCAAAAAACAAGCAUUUAGGUUGUUUUUAUAUACCUUGGAAGACAAAUCCGUGAUUGGCCCUAUUUAAAGAUGAAGCAACACAAAGCAACAAUAUACAUACGUAGGUGUCCACGUAGAGAGAGAGAGAGGAGGCAAGAGCAAGUGAAAGUUAAGAAAAAACAUAUCUUUAUGUAACAUAUGGGCCCGUUGAGUACCUUUUUCUUUGCUUUGAUUUGUGAAUUUUCAUGCAGCAAACCAUUGGGGACCUCACAAGCUCCCUUAACUACAUAUAUUUUAAGCCAUUUUAAAAGCAGAGGACAGUGUACCUUUUGUGACUGAGUGUAUUAGCAAGCCUACUACUUUCCUUACCACUAUCUUAAAUCACUUGGAUGUUUCCUUUAAACAAUAACAAAAUCAAUUAAGAAUGUAACAAUACACAAGUAAGAUAACCAAACCUGUGAAAAGGAGCUAGAGCCUACAAUUUUUCUUCCUUGUUAAGUAUUCCCUCCCUACCAAAAGCCAAUUAGCAGCAAGAAAUGUAUGCUUGUUCUUCAUAACCUUUAAACGAUAAACUAAAGCAAAAACAUUAAGAAACAUAUCUAAACUGUGAAAAAAAAAGAAUCUAUAUCUGAUUGACAGCUAGGGAAGAUUGAGCCAGUUUGUUUCCAUGACACAAGCAAACUUCCUUUUGGCCUUGGUGGGAAAGAAAAGCUUGCCUUCUAACAUAGUAAAGCCAAAGUUUGAACAGAUCUGGCCCCACAAUUUCAUUACUAUAUAUCAGUUUCUCCUAUAUCAUUUAGAAUCUUACACAUGGUCAGGAUAGUGUCCUUAUAGCAUUGAUUCUCACAGUGAUUGUGUGAGCAAAGCCAUGCCAGUAUUGCACUCUAGAGGUGUCAAGUUACAUGCUCUACUGAAGUGUUAUGCACCAAAGUAAAUUAAAUUAGAAAUAAAGAAAGAAUGAUUUAACACAUACCUCAGUUACGUCACUUUCGGUAUGGUUUUCUUUAAUACGAAGUGAUUCUUACGAUUGUUACGGAUGUAUAUGAUACAUAGAUAUAGAAACAAUGAGUAGCAUGGUGGCUCUCUCAGACCUUAAGAGCAUCAAAAGAGGCCAUAUGUAAUAGUAAAAAGGAGAAACUCUAACUGACUUCAUAUCUCAAACUGUAUACAGAUUACAGCUAUAUCUCUACUUCACAGACACACACAAGCCGACAUACACCAUUACCGAUUUUAGAACUAUCAUAAGACUGCAACUUGUAUCCAGCUUUAGUAUUUGGCUACAAACAAAAUGGCGACUGACGGACAAAAGCACCUGCAAAAAUUUAAACUGAGGAACUAAGAAUAUGUGACAUGAAGAAACAGAACUGAAAACAAAAUGAUCAUGUAUCACAUGACAGAAGUAAAUGCUCCUAGUCAAAGCUUUUGAAAUGUAACAGCCAGAGGAGUAGUGAAUAUAUAUACUCAUUUACACUGGAAACACUUACACUAGUAUUCAAAGGUUAGAAGGAACUAGCUCUUCAGUCACAGUCUCUCUUCAUUGCCUUAAACCGAAAAAAAUGGCCAGAUAUAACUGUCGACAAUCACUGUGGCUUUAAGAUUUUCUUGGCUUCUGAGCCCAUUUUGGUCCAUAUAUAGCUAGAUGUGUCCGGCCAAACCUUCUAUCAGUCAUCUAUGAGAAAAAAUUUCCCAUCAACAUUCAUACAACCCCAUUCAUCAAACAAGUAAUAAAAGGGAAGUAAUUACCUUUUCAAGGCAUCCACAUGAAUCAAGCAUUGUUGUUCGUGAUGGGUACUCGACCAACUAGGUCAGAUUUUGUCCAAAAGAGGACGAGUAUUACACAUUGACCCAAAAUCCUUAUAAGAUGGUUUAAAAAGGGAAAUAUAUAGCUACUCACAAUAAAAGUAUUUUCCCCAAUCGCUGGUGACUUAGCAAUCUGAUCCAUCAGAACCUCAUAAUCAACCUCCAUGUAAGGUGGCGUAACGCUGAUAUAAUCAAACACUCCAUCCUUACCUGAUAGUAAAGAAAAGUCUUAAUAUAGGUUCUAUUUAAAGCUGAAGUUAAGUGGUGAAAUUGACAAUAACAUCUUCAAGACUAGACAUACCUACUAAUUUAUCAGCACGUUCCAGGAAGUUUUCAACUCGAGCAGUGUGUAUAACCGAAGCAUCAACAAACCCAGUGUGUUCCAAGUUUGGUUGUAGAACAUUUGAAACAACCCAAGGAUCCAUCUCAACAAAAUGUGCCUGUUGAGAAAUAAUUCAAGUCCAAGAUGGAAACACAUGUUUAGUGAUCACUUAAAGUAAAAGAGAAUCCAACAAAGAUCAUACAAUCACAGUUCUUUAUUUCUUUGCUACCUCAGAACAUCCUCGACUGAUUGCUUCAAUCCCAACAGACCCUGUACCACUAUACAAAUCCAACCACCUACCAGGACGCAGAGACGUUGGACAACCACCAGCAGCCUAAAUAAUGAGAAGAAUCAUGUUAACUCAGACACCAACAAACGCAGAAGCUCCUAAAAUUAGUUACUCUUACCUGGAGAAUUCCAAAAGCUGCUCCUUUAACAACUUCCAUCAUAGGUCUCACAUCCAUUCCCUUAAGAGAAAGCAAUUUCUUUCGUUUCGCCGUUCCUGCAAGAACCUAAAACAAUCUACACAUUAUAGAUAUCCAACAACAGUAACCCCCAAAGCAAAACACAAUAAAAUAAGCAAAUACACACCUGCAGUAACCUAUGAGUUGUUCUUGGCUGUACAACAACAACUUCUUCUACUUGUUGACUAUUCCUUCCACUCAUUUUCUCUUCUUUCCUUCUCGCCUUCUACAAUGAGAACUAAAAGUUUCAUCUCUCAACUAUUCAUCACAAACCAAAAAAAAACAAUUAUGGAAAAAAAAAACAGACCUUAGAUUGAGACCCAAAGUCAUCAUUAGCAUCAUAACCAUAUCGUUCCAGCAACAAUUUCUUAUCCUCACUUGCCAAACCAGUUCCUGAAUCUGAAAACCCACAAGACAUAAACUGAGAAAAGACAGAACUUUAUGAAUGAUUCUGUGAAAGAUGCAAAAUUUCACACUUUUACGACUCGAGACGACGAAUGUUCGAACACGCAGUGGAGUAGAACCCUUAAAGAGAUGAAUUUGAGGGAAAGAAGAAUACGAAACACCCAGAUUCUUAUUCAUGUCAAUGUUGAUUCCUAGUGGAGAGAAAGAUGACAACAAAACCGCCAUUGCUGAUAAAGUUUUCGACUUUGGGAGCUUGCAGAGAGAAAUCGUCUGCAGAGAAGACGAAUGAUAGAAAUAGAGUUAAAACCUUCUUCCAGAGCCAGAGGAUCUAUUUCUGUAUCAAAAGGUGUUUAAUUUUGAGCUUUGUAUUUCAAGAGACUUGGUUACUACUUAAGUACUAAGUAAGUACUAAUAAGAGAAGAGAUAUAACUUAUUGAAAAAACAUAGUUCUUGAAAAUCAUAAACCAGUUACAAGAGAAGUAACAACAAUAGGGAAAAGAAGGGAUCUAAUAAUCGAAAUCAUUCAAGAGUUGAGGAAACUGUGACAACAUCUCUUGGUCUUUAUCUAGUAUUUCGUCAACGAAGGAACUCGCGGAAUGACAUGUUCCCGAGGCCUUUGAAUCGAUGUUUUGAGAGAUGUAUUCGGCUUCGAUGUUGAAAUGAUGUUCGUUCUGCGUAAAAGUGAGGUCGCUAGUAGCUGAGGAUCCCACUACUUGAGGAACCGGGUCCGAGAGAAGGAAAUCGCUCCAGUAGAAGUUAGUAACCGGUGUUUGAGGUACUUGGUUUGGCUGAGUGAUACUAGUAGAAGAUGAUGAGGAAGAGCAUGAAGAUGUGGUUCCAUUGAGCAGAUGAUUUGGAUGGCUAUAGAAAUGAAAUGGAGUAGUUUGGUACUCAGAGGAAUUUGUAAACAUCAUUGGAGAGUUGGUGUAAUAACUCUCAUGGUUUGUUGUUGUGUUUCUCAUCAUUUCCCAAGCUGAGUUGGAUUGUGUGAGUAUAGAGUUGUUAGAUGGUUCUGUUUUGAAGGAUGCAUUUCCAUGGCCGCUAAUGUUUCUGAAUUCUGCAAGGAGUUGAGAAACCGGUUUAUGAGUCACCGGGUCUAUCCCCAUUUUCAUCAGCUUCUUCUUCAGCUUUGUGUUCCAGUGAUUCUUCACAUCAUUAUCCGUUCUUCCUGGAAGCUUUCGUGCAAUGGAAGACCACCUGAAAACAUCAGAGGUUACAAUUAUUACUAAUGAGAUAAAAAGUUUGAUAGAUUCUUGUCAUUGUUAAAAAGUUAGUUAGCAAUUAGGUUGCUUCAUUACCUGCUGCCAAUGGCUCUAUGACACUCAAUGAUAAGCUCUUCUUCUUGGGUAGAGAAGCUGUCAUGUUUAAGGUCAGGUCUUAAGUAAUUAGUCCAUCUUAGUCUACAGCUCUUUCCACAUCGAUUCAGACCUGCGCCGAAGAACGAAAAAUAACUCAGACUUGUUUGAAAUGAGAUUUCUUAAGAGUUAAGAGAAAUGAGAGAGUUUUUUUUUGGAAAAACCUGCUUUUUUGGGGAUCAAGCUCCAGUUUCCUACACCAUGGAUAGCAACAUAAGCAAGGAUCUUAGCGUCUUCUUCCUCGGUCCAGAGACCUUUCUUGACAUUGGACUUGUCACAACAAGGAGGUCUUCCCAUUUUUUGGUAUUCAAACACAAGAGAGAAGAUGAAGAAGAAGAAGAAGCUGAGAAAUGUCUGAAAGGACAACAACAAAGGCUUUAUGGAAAUAGAGUGAUGCAAUGCAAAAGCUCUGAGAGAGAAAGAGAGAGAAGGUGAGGAUCUCAUGCUUGAAGGCUCCUAAUUAACGGUAAUUGCAUGAUUGUUACACUUCAUUAGAAAUAUAGAGUCUCGAAGUGCAUGACGUAGUUUUGGCAACUAUCAUCUCAUGUACACUACUACUGAUUGUAUAAUACUUAAUUCAGUUAUCAUGUAUCGCUUGCUUCAGGUUGAUGAUAACAUAAACCGACUUUUAUUAAGUUUUGGUCUAGUUAUGAACCAUAAGGAACAUAACUUGCACAUGAAACCAGUAACAUAGAAUCAGAAUUAUUUUUUUAGUAUAUAGUUCUAAAUUUUUCAUUCUAUUGACGAUAUGUUUAUCUACCCGAAUGGCGAAAACCCGGUUUUUCGCUAUACAAAAAUUUUGAUCCUUUAAUAAGAGCUUUGAUUUUACUUGUUGUUCUUAAGAUGAGCAAGCUUUGCAACUCUUUCUGCAAUAUCCAUGGUCUUUGUCUGAACCAACCAUGUAUGUUGGAUUCUUCUGGCAUUCCCCUGCCUUUGCCCAUUUUUCGCAGCUCACAUUCUCGUCCAUACAUCCAGAUUGCUUAUUAAACGCUCUUUCGAAUGACUUAACGUGAAUCCAUCUGGUUGCUGACCAUUUCUCUCCCUCAACCACUGGACAGCUUCCAUGUAAGCUAUUUGAAUCUGUGGUUGCAUUUGGGUGAAGAUUGAAGAACAGUAAUGCAUCCCCUUUCCUCGGUUUCACUGCAAAGAUACAUAAAUCAGAUAGAGCAAUAUACCAUUUGGAAAAAUAGUUAUACCUUUCAUUAUCAUUUAAUCAAACUACUACAAUCCCCAUUUGUGUUGAGCUUUCACAAUUAAGCCAAACGCAUGUUCAGGAUACAGUAUUCUAUAUCAAGCAAGCUAUAUACAGUGAUCUUACCUGCAUAGCCUUGUUUUGCACAUUCGGUCCAGCUAUCGUCUUUCAACUGAGUUGCUUUACCCUACAAGAAUGUGUGAUCAAACUGAAAUGAGGCUACUCAGGAAACGAAAUCGAAAUAUUAGAUGAAAAUUUAAGGAACCAGAAGUAAUAUAUGUCUUUACCUUCCACAUGGGAAACACUGUUUCUCCUCCCUUUUCAACAUUGGACAAGUACAUCAAUACUGUGGCAAUCCGAUGACCACCGAGCUCUAGAUUAGCCUGGUCGUGAAAGUAGUCAAAAUGCGGUUCAUACUUUUGACCAUUCUCAUAAUGCAAUAUUUGCAUGGAUUCACCAUUCUCUGAUCCGCAACACAGACAAAAAAGAGAUGAGAAGUUGUAAGCAACUAAAGUCUAAACAAAGAGACAGAAUUAGGAAAUCUAUGUACAUAUGGCCAAAAAUACCUUCGGGAAGAAAGGUCCACGCAGCAAGUUUUGCCUCCACAUUACUUACUAUAUCAUCCUACACAUACAUAGAACCAUACCAUUCAAACUCAAAGGUUAACAAUCAGUGAAUCACACAAUCUCUAGACUAUCCAUAUUUGCAAUGAAGCUGCUACUUUGUCUAACCACAGAAACAGAAUCCUACAGUAUUGCAGGAAAUGCAUGUUUACUUGGUCAAGCGUUGAUCAGUAACAUAGAACUAGUCUGCCUAAUUGCUGAAGUAAUCUAACGGAGUACAACGCACACAAAAGCCACAUUAGACCUCAUAAUAACAAUCAUUCUCCAAUGAUUAGCACGAAACUCAACAUCCAAAUCAAUCCAGAUACAAAACCACCGCUUCUAACAAGUCAUUGCAAAGUUCUACGAUAUAGCCAACAUAAAUUUCUAUAGAUGCCUACAUGUUCAGAAUAUUAACUAACCUGUCGUUUGGAGAGAAACAUUCCAGAACUAGUGCGUACUUCACUCUCAACACUCUCACCAGAAUCAUUAUCAGCCACCAUUGACUUCUCAAGCUUCCCUUUCGCCUAAAAAAACAAAUAUCACAAUCACAAAAACAUUCUUUCAUCAUCAUCAUCAUCACUACUUAAAAAGCUUAAGUAAAGAUGUUUAAGAUUCAAUACCAAUUUGAUAAAAUGAUCACAUUCCUCAUCAGAAAGAAACCCUUCAUACAAAAAAACUCUGCAAAAAAAAAAAACACAAAAAAAUCAAAUAAACAAAAACAAAGAUUCAAAAUUUCAGAUAACAAACACAAAAGCAAACAAACCUAGGAGUCCAAGAGAGUUGAGUGACACGAGUUGGAUCAAACCCAAAAGAAGAAGCACUUGUUUUCAUCUUUAUCACUGACCCAUCUCUGCAAAAGAUUAAAUUUCUCAGUCAAAACCAAAAAAAAUCGAAGAACAGAAUUCGAAUCCAUCUCAAAUCAUCACAAUCUAACCUAGUGUUACUCGAUCUAGUGAGGAAGCGGUUAGGUGCAGAUGAAAUUAGAGGGAGAGUGAAGAGAAAACAGAGGGAAAAUGCGAGAAAAAUCCGAGAAUCCAUUUUCGUGAGAAAGACUUGUUGUUGGUGCGAAGAAGACCAAGACGAUGAAUUGUAUUAAUGCUCUACUCAGAAUUGACCCAAGAAUGUUUCUUCUUAUCAAUUUGUUUCCCAUAGUUUUGAGAUUUUACUGUUUCGUCCCCUUUUGGAGUAUUUAUGACGCCCACUGUAUUUUUCUCUGACUUUGGCUUUUAAUUACCGUUGACUUAGUUUACUUUUGUAGGUCGUAGUCAAUCGGGCCUGCCCGCAUCCAAACGGACCACUUGCAUUGUGCCCGAUUUUUUUCUGAUCCGCGAUGGACCUGUCCGCCGACGACCGCGGUCUUGAAACACGACUCGUAGGGGUGGACAUUCGGAUAAGCGGGUCGGAUUCGGAUAAAACCCUAUCGAGUACAGGUUCUUCAGGUAGAAAAGUUUAGGAUCCAAUAGGGUAAAUCUAAAAUAUCGGUUCGGUGUCGGUUCGGGUCUAAUCGGGUUCCGGUCGGUUCGAAUAUAGAGUUUUGGGCUCUUUUUUGGAACCGAUACCAAAUUUUCGGAUGUAUAUCCAGAUUUUUCGGGUAAAUACCCAAAUUUUCUGGUAAAAUUUCGGGUUUUAGGUAAAAUUUAGAUUUUCGAAUAAAAUAUCCGGGUAUUUUCGGGUUCGGUUUCGGUUUUUUGGGUAGAGGAAUUUUGGACCCAAUAGGGUAAAUCUUCGAGUUCGAGUUCGGUUUCUGGUCCAAUUUUUCGGGUCGCUUCCGGUUCGGGUAAUCGGUUCCGGUUUUCUUGCCCACCCCUAGUAGGUUGUAUGAUUGUUACACUUCAUUAGAAAUAUAGAUAUCAUCAUGCUUCAUUACAAAACACCGGGUUUUUCGUUAUGUGAAAGAAUCUAGUCACUUGUUGUUGUUCUUAAGAUCAACAAGCUUUGCAGCUCUUUCUACAAAAUCCAAGGGAAGUUUCCGAACCCACCAUGUACAUUGGAUUCUUCUCGCAUUCCCCUGCAUCUGCCCAUUCUUGGCAGCUCUCAUGAUCGUCCACACACACAAGUUUCUUCUUACCGAAUGACCUAACAUGAAUCCAUCUAGUUGCUGACCAUUUCUCUCCCUCAAUCACCGGACAACUUCCAUGUAAGCUAUUUGGGUCCGUUGUUCCAUUUAGAUGAAGAUUGAAGAACAAUAAUGCGUCACCUUUCCUCGGUUUCACUACAAUUAAAGAUUACUUAUUCAAAUAAUGUAAUAUACCAUUUGAAGAAAUAGUUGUAUCUUUCAUAAAACAUAGAACCAUGCUACAACUACAAGUGUGUACAUCAAACUUGUAUAUAUUUUACCUGCAUAGCCUUGUUUUGCACAUUUCGACCAGCUAUCGUCUUUCAGCUGAGGUGUUUUACCCUAUAAGAAUGAAUGAUCACAUUAAGUGAUGAUUUAAAUUCAAAAACUCAAGUGAUGAUUUAUGGAACAAGAAGUGAUAUAUGUUUUACCUUCCAGUUGGGAAACACUGUUUCUCCACCCUUUGUGACAUUGGACAAGUACAUUAGUACGGUGGCGAUCCGAUGACCACCUAGCUCUAGAGCUUUCUUGUCGUAAAAAUAGUCGAAAUGCGGAUCAUAUUUUUGACCAUUCUCAUAGUGCAGUAUUUGUAAGGCUUCCCCAUUUUCUGAUCCACAACACAUAAAGAUAAGAUGAGAGUAAGAAACAGAAUUAGAAAAAAAAAGAAAAAUGUAUAUGCCUCGCGGAAGUACCCUCAGGAAGAAAGGUCCAUGCAGCAAGUUUAGCCUCGACAUUAGCUACUAUAUCAUCCUAAAGGUUGAAGUAAACAAAACCAAUAGUAACUUGGUCAAGACUCAAGCGUUUACUUCUUUACAAAAAAAAACACAGAGAACUAGUCUGUCUAUUUAGUGAAUUAAGCUAGUCGAAUACAAUAAAAAUACAUAGUAAAAUUCCACUGCUCUCACCUGUCUUUUGGUCAGAAACAUUCCAGAACUUGUGCGUACUUCACUGUCUUCACUCUCACCUGAAUCAACAUCAGCCACCACCAUUGACUUCUCAAGCUUUCCUUUUGCCUAAAACCAAUGUUUACAUCCACAACACAGUCCUAUAUGAUCACAAAAUCUAUAUAAUUUUAUGAAAACAAGAAAACUUAAUAACAUGUUUGAUUCUAUACCAACUUAAUCAAAUGAUCACAUUCCUCAUCUGAGAGAAAUCCUUUGUAUAAAAAUGCCCUGAAGAAACCACGAAAUUCACUUUCUUUAACACAACAGAACAAAGAUCAUGAUUACGUAAUUCAGAUACACAAAACACAUACCUAGGAGUCCAAGAGAGUUGAGUGAUUCUAGUUGGAUCAACACUAAAGGAGAAAGAUGAAAUUUGAGAGAAAAUCAAGAGAAGAGAAAGGGAAAAUGCAAGAAAAUAUUGAGAAUCCAUCAAGAAAUUUUUUCUUGAAAAAGAGUUUUGUUAAACAAUUUUGUUCCUUAUUUACUAAUGAUACCCAAUGAAUUUUUGUCCAUAUGUUUUUAUUUCUCGUUGACUAGUAUUUUUUACUUUUAAUAGGUUCUUUCACUAUUUUUUUCACCGGAAACAAACUUCUGUUUUUUUUUUGGUUGACUAAUAAUAAAAUUUUUGAGUUUUCAGAUAAUAGUAAUAUUGCAAUACCAAUAACUCAACCAUGUUCCAAUAUAAAACAUCAGUUACCAAGAGAGACUACCCUCCUUCUUCUGAUUUCUGAACCUUUUUUUUUGGGCAACACCUUCUUAACCUUAUUGUCAUAAUCAAUUGUUAUAUCAAUAUCCGGAUUCCGAAAUACGAUUCGAUUCGAUUCAAAAAAUAAAAACAUUCAAAGUUUUGAUUAUGAAAUCAUGUCUAUUGACUUUAUAUUAAUAUUUUCUAUUUCAAUUUAGAUCUUCUUCCAUAUAUAUUUAUUUAUUUGCAUAAAUAAAUUUAAUUUUUCUUAUAUUUCUGACUAAUAUCUUCAGAAAAAUAUUGUGUGGCAUCUCUUAGAAAUAUUUUAAUUAAUGAGUUUGAAAUUUUUUAUAAUAACCAAAUUUUUCUAUAAGUUGGAUUCUAACUCACUUAUCCAGAUCUUGUUAUCUUGAAAUUUUAACUAGUCAUUAAAACUCAAUAUAUCCUCAUUAACUACAAGAUUUUGGAAAUAUGUAAAAACAACUAGAUUUUAACCCGCGGUAUACCGCGGGACAAUUUAUUUUUUAAAUUAGUAUAUAUAAAAGUUUGUAAAUUAAAUCUAUUUAUUUUUAUUUUAUAGUUUACAAUUGUUAUUAAGUAACGUCCUGCCAAACCCGUCUCGCCAAAUCCGUCCCGUAAAAAAAACCGCGGUACACCGCUAAUUUAAAUAUAUAAUUAAAAUAAAUAUUUUACGGGAUUGCAAUUGUAUUUUGGUUUGUCAAACAAAUAUUGUUUUAAAUAGUUGCCAAAAUCUAGUUCAAAUUUUGGAGAAAAAAGAUUUAUUGGAUAGAUAAAUAAUGUAUUUAGGUGUGUUUUGCUCAUUUUAAGAGAUUGCAAUUAUAUUUUUGUUUGUCAAACAUUUUUUGUUUCAAAUAGUUGCUGAAUAUUGUGUGCGUGACAUAUGAGAUUGGAAUAUUUUUAGUUUGUUAAUCAAUUUAUUGCUGGAAAAAAGUUAAUAACUAAAAGCCAAUGACAGCCAUUGUAAAUAAGUCCCAACUCCAGGAUUUAUUUCAUAAAAUGACUGCAAAAAUGUAUAUAUAGAUUCAAAUUAGAAAAUGGGUUUAAAAUCUCUCUUUACAUAUAAGGCCCAUUAAAGACCCAUAACUUAAAAGGCCCAUUAAAAUUUCCGGCUCUGUGUCGUGUACCGUACGUACGGAACAAAACCCUAAAAUCUCCUCUCACAUUAUGGGACAGAGACAACAUUUGACCCUUAAAAUUCACAAACUAUAGAUCUCUCCAGUCCCUUUCGCAAACCCUAGCAGUCGAAAGAUCGAAAUCGAAAACCCCUAAAACGAUGAAGGUGAUUGCUGCAUUUCUCCUCGCGAAACUCGGUGGAAACGAGAAUCCAACCUCAAAUGAUCUGAAGAAGAUCUUGGAAUCUGUUGGUGCUGAAAUCGAUGAAACGAAGAUAGAUCUGUUGUUUUCUCUCAUCAAGGAUCAUGAUGUGACGGAGCUUAUUGCUGCUGGGAGAGAAAAGAUGUCUGCUUUGUCUUCUGGUGGUCCAGCUGUUGCUAUGGUGGCUGGAGGUGGUGGUGGUGGUGCUGCUUCGGCGGCUGAGCCGGUUGCUGAAUCUAAGAAGAAGGUUGAAGAAGUGAAGGAUGAAUCUUCUGACGAUGCAGGCAUGAUGGGUCUCUUUGAUUGAUCAUUUGGUUAGAAGUUUCGUUUAAAGGUCAAGACUUUAUGUUUCUGAUGUUGGUUUUAUUGAUGGAUCUUUGUUUAAUGUUGAGACUUGUGUUUCUGAUGUUGGUUUAAUGAUCUUUGGUGGUGAUGACUCUAUGUUGGGUUUUACUUGUGAUUUGAGAAUUGUGGAUGAUGAUGAUGAUUUUAGGAUUUGAGAUUGAUAGAUCAUAGCGAGUUUGUUUAUGUGAUUUGAUGCUUUUGGAUCGCUGAGUAGUAUUAUCAUGAUUAGUAGUUAAAGAUGGAUAUAUUAAGAGUAGCCAGUGAGUCAAAAUGUGAAAAGGGUUUGUUUUGUUAGUGGCUAAGAACACAUUGGAGCAAAUCUUUCAUUUGAGUUUAUGUGUAUAGUGAGUUUGUUUAUGUAAUUUUGUAUGGUUUUUCAAUAUGGGUUUGGUUUUGGUUUGCAAAGAUGUGAAAUGGGUUUGUUUUGUUAGUGGCUAAGAACACCUUAGAGCAUAUCUUAUUUAUGAGUUGAUUUGUAUGAAUUAUAUAAGUUAAGAUUGUGGUUCCAUUAAGGUACACACCAAAGAGCUUAUCUUUAUAGAUACUUGAAGUAUAGUUUGGUGAUCUAAAUAUGUUGCUUAGAAGUUUACAUUAUAACUAUCCAUGUAACAACAAACAGAUGAAUUUUAUCAAAUAUGUUUCAUUUAGGAGAUGAAUUCUUGGUUUUGACAUUGGCUGCAUGUAGCUUCUCUUAGUACCCUUGUACUUUUGGUUUCACCUGCAUAGAGAAAACCCACAAGAAUAUGACAGUCUGAUUUGUCAGUCUCAUUCUCAAGCAACAUUUCUCUAUCCGUUACUUUCAUGGUGAAUAACACAAUCCAUCAUCAAUACUUUGUGUUACUCAGAAACUGAAAGUUAUUCCGAGUCUUGCAUAUCUUUGGACCUACUCGUUUUUCUACCAUUAUUGCUGAUUGUUAAGCUCUCGCUACUUGAAUCGGCAUUGUUGGAGUGGGAAGGUUCAAAAAAUUGGAGUUAUGACUAGUUGUCUCUUUCUAUGUACGAUGGAGAAAAUGAAUAAACAACUGAGAAAAUGGCUCUUGUUUAGUUGAUGAUGCUCUUAAGCUUUCCACUGGUUGCCAUAUAUGAUUUGGGCAUUUCACUUUGAUCUUAAUGGGCCUUGUAAAGCCCAAGACUCAUGAUUAUCUUUAGUUGAUGCUCUUAAUUAGGUGUGGGCAAAUAAUUCAAACUGUAUGUACCCGACCAAAACCAAAGCAAAAAUAAUCGAACCAAACCGAAAAUUUAAAAAUAACCGAAUGAAAACUAAAUCCUAUAACUGAAAGAACUGAAACCGAAUCAAAAUAUUUAAUGUAACCAAAAAUAUCCGAAAUAUAAUUAUAUUGUCAAAAAUAUUAAUAAUUUCUAGAUUAAAUAAUUAAAAAUACUUAAAAAUUUAUAUAAAAUAGUAAAAAUACUCGAAAAUAACCACAAAUAUUCAAAAACAACCGAAAUAUCCCAAAAUAUUCAAAGCAAAAUAACCGAAUGGAUACCAAAUUUUAAAACCGAAAAAACUGGAACAAAACCAAAAUCGAACCAAAAUUUCAAAAAUCGAAUAAAUACUAAACUUUAGAACAAAAAAAAACGAUAACCGAAUGUAUACGAACCAAAGCCGAAUUAGAUAACCGAACGUCCAGGACUACUCUUAAUCUUUCCGCCACUUAUGAUUUGGGCUAUUACUUUGUUUAUAAUGAGCCUUUUCAAGCUCAAGUUCAUGAUUGUCCGUGAGAUGAGAAACUGACUUGUUGGAUUCGAAACCCUAGCUAGUAUUGGUUAAUACUUAAUACAUAAAUGACCUGCAUUGACAUCAUCAUCCAAGAAAAUAAAAAUUGUAUGCUUGAGAUAUUUAGUUUUCCUAGGUUUUCUUUAUUUUAGUACCGAAUCUUUAGGUGUGCCACGUUAAUUUAGACCCAUUUUUUCAUACUUACCAACUGAGUCUAGUUUAAUCAUGACUAUAAUCGUAUAAAAUGAUUCAGUCGACGUCAUUGCGAACGUAUAUAAAAUCAUCCAAAUUGACGUCAUUCCAAAGAGGUAAGCAUGCUUAUCUAAGAGUCCGAGCAUACUAAACAAGACGACAUUUUAUUUGCACUCCAAAUCAAAUUUUGUAUUGCCUAAAGAAAAACAAUCAAACUCAAGUUUCUUAAAAUUAAUUUCAUUCAAACUAAUCACUUUCAAUAUCUCACAUAUUAUUCAUGCCAUUUCUAUUUGUCUAAACAUGAUUUAAAAAAAAAAGUAAAAUACAAAGAUUACUAUGCAAAAACUCUAUAAAAAAAAAUUCAAAUUUCUUAUUUAUUUGUGACAUCAAAUUUUCAAAAUAAUUUUUUUAAUUAUCGGUUGAUCCGGUCAGUCGAUAAAAACAUAAACUUUCAGCGACCGUUAAAACUUUCCUACUACCGAUUUAGAGAAAAUCUUAGCUUGAAACGUAAUUGUAACCUGCCUUCAUGCAAGUCGCAAGAUAUGUCAUCCUAAGUUGUAUAUGUUUUCUCAAAAGAUGUAUUUACUUGAGAAAAUACGUUUCAACGUUGAUGGACAACCAAUUAAGAAUCAAGCACCUUUCGUAAUCAAUUUAGGCUUAUCGUCUAAGGUAUACUGAUUUACGACAGUUGACUAGACUUAUAAGGAACAAAAUAAUAGAAUAAUUUCGUCAAGAAAAAUUGAUUUUGGACUCAUACUUUACAUAAUAUUUUACUCUUAAAUUUAUUUAAGUGGCUCCUCGCAUGAUCCCAAAGAGCAAGCCUAGACUAUAUGGAAAAGUUUCUAAACACUUCACCUAAUCAUAGAGACUAAGAUGGUAAUUCGUAAACGACAAAGCCUAGUGACACUGUCCAUUGUAAAAUUCCACAUCAUAUUAGUAUUAAACAUAUACAUGUAGUUUCCUGAACACAUGUAGUAUCAAACACACUUCGUGGCUUCUUCCUCGAAACCUCGAGCCUAGGAUAUAAAUAGAGAGUGAAUAACAGAGUUGUGAAACCAAAUCACAGAUCACACUUACCAGAUCACAAGACAAACACAAACUAAUAGUUUCGUGUGACACAAGUAAAGAGUUUCGUGAGAUAGAAGCAACACCAAAAGAUGCUUGAAACUGGAGCCAUAUGGGGAAUAACCGGCACGACGGUGACGAGCUUUAUGUUCUUCUGGGCGAUUUACAAACAAUACGUCCCUGCCCAUUUCCGAGCCUAUGUGGAGAGAUACUUCCACAAGAUGAUUGGAUGGAUCUCUUACUACGUUGACAUCAAAUUCACCGAGUACACAGAUGAAGGUCUGAAGAGAAGCCAAGCCUACGACUCCAUACGCAACUACUUAGCGUCGAAAUCAACGGCUCUUGCUAAAAGACUAAAGGCCAACGAAACGAAAAACAGCAAAUCUUUGGUGUUUAGUAUGGAUGAUCAUGAGGAAAUUGAAGAUGAGUUCGAAGGUGUGAAGGUGAAGUGGUAUUCGAAUGUGAAAGUGAUUCAGCCUCAGUCUAAUUAUGGUCAACGCAGCUCAGAGGAGAGAAGGCACUUUACUCUUAGUUUCCAUAGGCGACACCGAGGUAUGAUCAUUGAGACUUAUCUUGAUCAUGUUUUGAGAGAAGGGAAAGCUAUUGGAUUGAUGAACAGAGAGAGGAAGCUUUACACUAAUAACUCAAGUCAAGAAUGGUAUCCUUGGAGGUCAGGAAAGUGGAGCAACGUUCCUUUUCACCAUCCGGCGACGUUUGAGACUUUGGCUAUGGAUCCAGAGAAGAAAGAAGGGAUUAAGAAGGAUUUGAUAAAGUUUAGCAAAGGGAAAGAUUAUUACAAGAAGGUUGGGAAGCCAUGGAAGCGCGGUUAUCUCUUGUUUGGCCCGCCCGGGACAGGGAAAUCGACGAUGAUAGCUGCAAUAGCGAAUUUCUUGGACUAUGAUGUGUAUGAUCUUGAGCUAACGACGGUGAAGGAUAACUCAGAGCUGAAGAAGUUGUUGUUGGAUACAACUAGUAAGUCUAUCAUUGUGAUUGAAGAUAUUGAUUGCUCGCUUGAUCUUACGGGGCAGCGAAAGAAGAAAAAAGAGGAAGAUGAAGAGGAGGAUGGAGAGGAGAAGAAGGAAGGUGAGAAGAAGCCCAAGGUAGAUGAUAAGCAGAGCAAGGUUACUUUGUCAGGUUUAUUAAACUCCAUUGAUGGGUUAUGGUCAGCUUGUAGUGGUGAGAAGAUCAUAGUGUUCACAACUAAUUUUGUGGAUAAGCUUGAUCCAGCAUUGAUACGUAGAGGAAGAAUGGACAACCACAUUGAGAUGUCUUAUUGCAAGUUUGAAGCAUUCAAGGUUUUGGCUAAGAACUACUUGGAGAUUGAAACACACGACUUGUAUGGAGAAAUCGAAAGAAAGCUCGAAGAAACCGAUAUGUCCCCCGCGGAUGUUGCGGAGACUUUGAUGCCGAAAUCUGACGAAGAAGAUGCAGAUAUUUGCAUCAAGCGUUUGGUCAAGACUUUGGAGGAAGAGAAGGAGAAAGCAAGGAAGUUGGCUGAGGAAGAAGAGAAGAAGAAAGCAGAGAAGGAAGCAAAGAAGAUGAAGAAAGCAGAGGAAGCAGAGGAGAAGAAGAAGAAGACAGAGGAAGAUGAGAAGAAGGAGAAAGUGAAGGCCAAGGAGGAAAACGGCAACGUUUCUCAACAAAAUGGCAACUCAAUUGAUUUGAACAAGAAAAGUGACUCAUGAUGAAUUUUAGUUUAUUGUAUAAGGAUGUAAUUUGGCAAUUAUUCUUCUCUCCUCUUAUCAUAUGCUUUUAAAGAAUUUGUAUUUACUAUCUAUAGAUUUCAUCAUUGUGUUCCAUCGUUUCAUAUGCUUUUACAUUCACGUCAAGUGCCUUUAAAAUGAAAUAUGUAAUACACAAUUUGUCAACAAAUAUAUAAUUUAAAAACAUUCAUUAUUUCAUUAUGAAAUUAAAAUAUUUAUUAUUUCCAUUUAAUGAAACGACAUCAAAGAUUUUGUAUGUAAAUCUUAUGCUUCUUUUGUUAUUUCGCCUAUACUUUUGAUUAUAUGUUUUUGGUUCUACGUUUACUAGUUAGAUCCAUGUAUUAUUCUUUCUCUUUAUUGCAUUUAUUUUUAUCAUUAAAACUACAACAUUAUUGUUUCAUUUCAAUAUUCUAAUUUUCAAUUAAACAAAUAGUAUCAAUUCCCGUAUACAUAUUAAUUUACUUCAUCUUCAUCUUCAAAUUUAUGAAUUUCUUUUUCUAGUUAACUAAAUUUACUUUCCCUUUCUAAUAAAUAUUAUUAUUGUUAUUGCUAUUAUUAACAAUUAGACAAAUGUCACCGAUCAAAAUGAACUUCUGAAUCUUAAUUUCCCUAUAGUUAUUUAUUUACUUCUUCAUUUUCAUGUUCAAAAAUUUGAAUUUCUUUUUCUAAUUAACUAAAUUUAGUUUCUCUAAAUUUCAUACUAAUAUUUUUACUUUUAUUUUUAACAAUUAGACAAAUGUCACUGUUCAAAAUGAGCUUCUGAUUUUAUCUGAAACAUAUGAAAAAGCUUACAAAUUUAAAUUAAUAUAUGCUUCAAUGUUAUCUUGAAGCUCCUUCAUCAAUUUAAUAAGAUUUUCUCUACCAUUUUUUUGUUUAAUUGAUAUUUGCUAUGUUAAACUUUUUUCUAGCCUUACCACUAAAGACUUAAAAAGCCCUAAAGACUAAAAUAUCAUGCUAUAUAUAAUUAGUUAAAGCACAUCUCAAAGUCUCAAAGAGAACUUAACAAACACAAAGAUGCUUGAGGUAGGAACAAUAUGGGGUUUCACCAGUACGACUAUGGCGAGUAUUAUGUUCUUAUGGCCAAUGUAUAAACAGUUUGUGCCAUACCAACUACGAGAAUACUUGGAAAACACCAUUCAGAAGUAUUUGGACAAGUUGUUCCGCAGGGACUCAAAUUUUGUUUACAUCAGAUUCCCUGAAUACACAGGAGAAGGUCUAAGUAAAAGCCGAGCCUACGAUGAGAUAGGCAACUAUUUAUCCUCGAUAUCAACUGCUAGAGCCAAGAGAUUAAAGGCCAAAGAAUCGGAAAACAGCAAAUCGUUGGUUCUUUGUUUGGACGACGACGAGGCAGUUGUAGUUGUAUUCCAAGGUGUAAACGUGGUAUGGUCUUCCACCGUGGUAGAUAAAGAGGAUAAACAUAAUUCGAAGGAGGGAAGGUACUUGACUCUGACUUUCGAAAAUCAUCACAGAGAUAUAAUCACAAACACUUAUAUUGAUCAUGUUUUGAGAGAAGGAAAAGAGAUUGCGUUAAAGAACAGAGAGAGGAAGCUCUACACUAACAAUGACAGUAGUAGUUAUUCGUCUUGGUGGGAAGGACUAUGGAGCAACGUUCCUUUUAAUCACCAUGCGUCGUUCGAGACUUUGGGCAUGGAUCUUGAUAAAAAAGAAGAGAUUAAAAAGGAUUUGAUUAAGUUUACUAAAGGAAAAGAUUAUUAUAGGAAGGUUGCUAAGCCGUGGAAGCGCGGUUAUCUCUUGUUUGGACCUCCCGGGACAGGGAAAUCGACGAUGAUAUCCGCAAUAGCGAAUUUCUUGGAGUAUGAUGUGUAUGAUCUUGAGUUGACCACAGUGAAAGAUAACGCGGAGUUGAAGAAGUUAAUGUUGGACACAAAAGGGAAGUCUAUUGUUGUAAUUGAAGAUAUUGAUUGUUCCCUUGAGCUUACGGAACAUAGAAAGAAAAAGAAGGAAGAAGAUGAGGAUAAAGAGGAGAAGAAGGAAGCUGAGAACUUGAAAAGAGUAAGUGGGAAUAAUGAGAGCAAUGUUACUUUGUCGGGGUUAUUGAACGCCAUUGAUGGGUUAUGGUCAGCUUGUAGUGAUGAGAAGAUUAUUAUUUUUACAACAAAUUUUGUGGAUAAUCUUGAUCCAGCAUUGAUACGUAGAGGAAGAAUGGACUACCACAUUGAGAUGUCUUAUUGUAGGUUUGAAGCAUUUAAGGUUUUAGCUAAGAACUACUUGGAGAACGAGUCACAUGACUUGUAUGGAGAGAUUGGGAGAUUGCUAGAGGAAGUCGACGUGUCUCCGGCUGAUGUUGCUGAGAAUUUAAUGCCGAAAUCUGAUGAAGACGAUGCAGAUAUUUGCUUUAGACGUUUGGUUAAGUCUUUGGAGGAAGAGAAGAAGAAGAAAAUAGAGAAGGAAGCGAGGAAGAACAAGAAGAAAGCAGAGGAUAAUGUAAAGCAGGAGAAACAAAACAAAGUGAAGGGCAUGGUUACAAAGUAAACUUUAAAACGUUUAUUACUAUUGUGGUUUUAUUUUGCUUUGGCAUGGUUACAAAAUAUAAACUUUAGAUGCAAAAGUAAGCUAUAACAUUAUUUUUAUUAAAUCUACCUGAACUCGUUUUAUGAGAAAUCCGACUCCAUACAUGAUUUUAUAAUUAGUUAAGAAGACUAAGAGAUAAACUAAAUGCAAAAAAGAAAAAAAUACCCAAUAACUUCCAUUCAUACAACUUAUCUACGUUAUAUGAUUUCUCCAGUAACUUCCAUUCAUACAACUGUAAAGAGCUUACAAGAAACGAUGACUCCUUUAAGGCUGAUACUAUCAAAGCAUGAUCUCGAGUAAGCUUCUUCAUUUUGUAGAAGCAAUGGUAGAAAUAGGAACUAGACAAUGAAAAGAAAGCCACUUUGAUAUAUCAACUGCAAUUUUUGAAGAUGCAGAUUCUGAUGACAUCAAGGAGCUGAUGGACAUCAGGGAGCUGAUGAACAUCAAGGAGCUGUUAGUUCAUAUAUUCAUUAUACAAUUUUAGAUGAAAAUAUAUAUUAUAAUAUUAAAUUUUAUAAUAACUAAAUGAAAUAUAUAUUGUUUUUUCACUUUUUCUUUAUGUUAUUUAUAUUAAUUAAAAUAUUGUAAUUAGAUAAUUAAAUGUUAUUAUAUAAAAAAAACGACAGCUCUUAAAGCACAAAAAAAUGUGUUGUAAAAAAUUUAAAAGUUACAUGUAAAAAAACGAAAAAAAAUUGUUUUGAGCUGUGAGAUUUGUUAAGAAAGUUAAAGAUUGAUUGGUUCAAAAUUAGGACUGUAAGUUCAAAAAAGUUGUAUUUAGGCAAAAAAAUUGUUUUGUUUAGUUUGGUAUGAAUGCACGGCUAAAAAUGGGAUAGAGGAGAUGUGUAGGGAUCUAUGGAAUUGGGCAAGCAAUAACCCUUACGGCUACAAUUCCUCCUCCAACGGCUCCUCUUCAUAAUUCUCUUUUUUUUUAGUUUUUAUUAUACUGUUUUCCUUAUUCUGUUAUUCAUAUCAACAAACACAUGAAAAAAGAGAAGGCUGACAAGUACACAAACUUUAGAAGAAAUUGGGGAAAAUUCUUGUACUAUUAAUUUAUCAUAGAAACUAUAUUUUAUUAAAUUGUCAGUUCAUACAUUUUCAAAUCGUUGAAAUUUUUUUUCUUGUAUUUGUGUAUUUGUUCUAUUUUUCUUGUAGUUAUGUAUGUAAAUGUGCUCAUUUGUCGAGAAAAACAAUUAUAUGGAUCAUUAUUUGGACAAAAAAGUGGGUAAGGAAAUCAAGGGAAAUGAUUAACUAGAUUAUUGAAAUUUGACAAAUUACUAUUUUCUGAUAUAAGUCCAAUUUACCCAAAAUAUGAAUGUCUUUAAGAAGACUUACAAACAUUGUUGGAUCUACCAGUAAUAGAGAGACAAUGGUCCAAACAGUUGCGUUUGCAAACAUUGCAAACGACUACCAAGAAGGACAUAUAUUCGACGCUUUUAGUUCUUACAACUUUCAUCUGCAUUUUAUCAUUGUUUCUUUAUUAAAAACUUUAUUUUUUCCGUAGUAGUAAUGCAGGGAUAUUUAUUAAUCUUUGAUAUUGAAAACAUAAACUUACUAAUACAGAUACUAGAGAAAUAUAUAUGAGUAUAUUGCAGACGCAACAAGCAUCCCCAAUAACAAAUUGUCGUAGUUCCAUAGAAUCGAUUAAACUCAAACUCGACAUGGCAAAUGUAGCUACGAAUACGACCUUGACUGACCUCGUAGAUGAUAUCCAUUGUCCUAAAAAAAGAGAAAACGAGUUGAAGAAGAGAGUGAAGAACGGAGGAGAGAAGAGAAUAGAGAGAAAAGAGGAAUUGUCGCUAAUGAUAUAUUUCUCAUAAGAGAAGGAAACAGGUUUAAAUACAACCACAUAAUUUGUAUGUGCUUUGAUACUAAAAAUGCACACAUAUAUUUGUAUAAGUACAAAAAUGCUCUUAUUGUAAUAAUCCAUGUAAUGAUGAAUAUCUGAGUGACAAACUAGUCAAAUUUACAUGUAUACUUAAAUACUUAAAAGAUAAAGUAGAAUAUUAAAACUCAAUUACUUCAACAAAGGAAGCAAAGAAAAGAGUGAAAUCCUUAUAAAAAUAUGAAAAAAUUAGCAUGGUUUAAAACCUAUCUUUUAGAUGAUAAUGAAUUAUCGAUAUAUAGAUGCAUGUAUACUAGUAUUAUGCAAAACAUAAGCAAAAUAUAAACAAAACAUAAGCAUAUUUUGUUUAUGUGUACAUCACCUCACCUAGAACUUGUUUCGCGAUGUAAACACUGUAAAAAAUUUUCAUUAUGUAGAGUAAAUAAUAAGAAGAUGAAGAAGGUGGUAAUAAAUAUAGAUAAAAAAAGCUGAAUUAUAUGCCUAAAUUAUGGGUUAUGGCUAGGUUUGUCAAAAUGGAUAACCAAAGGCAACUCAUUAUCCAAUGAAUUUAUGGUUAGAGUUAAAUGAGUUCAUGAGUUGACCCAAUUCAUUUAAUAAAAUGAAUUGGGUCAACUCAUGAACUCAUUUAAUUUGAUGGGUUGAAUUGUUAAAUGGAUUAAUCCUUUUAAAUAAUAAUUUAAACAAUAAUUUAAUUAAGAAUUAUUAGAAAAUAAUAAUCAAAAAAUUUCAUCAUUAUUAUCAUCAAAAUUGGGAAAUUUACGGAUUCACAAUUUUUUACGCGAAAAUUAUGGAUUUACGUUUUGGACGAAAUACAUGUUUUUUUGCGGAAAAAUACGAAUUUACGUUUUUAGCAGGAAAAUUACGGGUUUAUGUUUUUGGCGGAAAAAAUUGAGAUUUAUGUUUUGAAUCGCAAUUAUACAACAAAAUAUUAUUUGAAUCAUAAGUUUCAUCGGAUUUUUACCGACUUUCAACGAUUUGUCACUGAAUCUCACCAAAUUUUAUUGAAUUGUCACCGGAUCUUCACAAGAUUUCGUCGCAUUGUCACCGGAUCUGCAUCAGUAUUUUUUUAAAUUAACCAAUGGAACUUAGGAAGUUUCAUCAUAAUAUUAACACUAAAUUGUGUUGAAUUUUUAGUAUUGAUUGACUCUAUUCCAAACAUGUUUUCACUGAUUACAAAUAACCGCUUGUCAUAGAUUUUUCAUAUUCUUACAAAAUAAAUAUAUAUUUUAUUGAAUAUUCAAUCUAAUUGACGAAAAAGACAAUAUGAAAAAUAUAUUCAUAUAUCUACAAAGGUUUUCGGAGAUCUACAACAAACAUCAAUUUAUUUGUCUCACGUGGACCGAUUAUAAAUCCAAAUAUCUUAGUUGCAUUGGAUUAAAUUGAGAAAAAUAUGGACAAUAUUUGCAUUGUUAUGGACCUUUUGUUGGUUUACUGGAAAACUAAUUUACUCCAAAUCCAUCUGCCCCCAAUUAUCUCGCCAACAAAAACGACACGUAAAUAGCACUUAUCUGGAGUAGGCAUAUAAGUUUUGUUCCCAAGUUAACAUCUUACUUAAGCCCACAUUCACUGAGUAAUUUUUAAAAAGCGAAGUCCUCGAAGAACAAAUUUAACUAUCCAAUUAAUACAAAUUUCGACUUGAACAGUUUGGCACUAUAAAGAAGGAACAGCAAAAGCUUUAACAUUCUAUACAAAAUAAGACGUUUUUGAGAUGCAAGACCACCAAAAAUAUUUUUAAAAAAUUCAAAAUAUAAAGACCACCAAUAAUUUGUGUAGACUUUACUAAGAUAUAUCCAAAAAAUGAGUUUAAGUGGUGUUUGAAAGAGAUGUAUUAUUCGUUGAAACAUAAAAACGCCACAAAGUCUCUGCAAAUUUGUAUUAUUAGUUUACUUCUGCCCGUCAUCCAUCGGUUAUUUCGGUCUUCGGGGAAACAAGAUAAUAAGUUAUAACAUAUCUUUUUCUUAUGAUAAAAAUAGUGAUUUUGCACUUUAAUGUUGAAAUGACUAUUAAGUUGUAAAAAGAUACUACGAACAUAAAAGAUGGAUCUACAACUACUAAAUACAAAAGUAAAUUUAAAGAAAAAACUAAAACUUUAACAUCACCACUUUAUUUUUAUGAUCCCACUCUUUAUGGUUUGAUCCAUAAUUUCUCAAAACUCGGAAUCGGUUUCACACCUAGCUUCUUCAAACUCAUAUAUAGUAUCUUCAUGAUUAAGCAAAUACAACAAAAUCUUUCAAUACUUUUCGUCAAAUUUGUACCCAAGAACAUGAAAACCAUGUGGAAUGACUAUUUAUACGAACCAAAAUUUCAUGAUAAUAAAUAUUUCUUUUAUCAAAGUGGCAAUACAAUUUCGUUGUAACUAGAGUAGGAUAAAUACCCAUAGAGUUCUGCCCCUAAAAAAAGGAAGAAAAAAAAAGAAGAGAAAGUAGCAUAAAUGCAAACUUUAUCAUCGCUAUAUGCUCAAAGUUGUUUUUUUAUUUUUUGAUAAUAUGCAAAGUUAUUUUGAAACGGAUUCAACUUUAUAUAACAAGAUUCUCUCAACGACUUAUAUGUGAAUUGAUAUUUGCUUUCCCUGAUUUUUUUCUAACAAGAAUUUAAGUGGUUUUCUUAACAACAACCAAAACGAAAAUGAAAAUGAAUUUAAGUGGCUCUCACAAGUCACACGUUGGCAUGAGCAAACCAACGUAAGAUCUACUCUUUUAACGACUAAAGACUAAUAAAUCCCGAAAUAAUCAAAGAACAUGGAUAUAUAUAAUUAGUGAGAGCACAUCUCAAAGUCACAAAGAGAAGUAAACAAACACAAAGAUGUUUGAAGCCGGAGGAUUAUUUGGUUUCACCGGCACGACCAUGGCAAGUCUUAUGUUCUUCUGGUCAGUGUACAGACAGUUUGUGCCAUACCAAAUCAGAGACUACUUGGAGAAGUGUUUUUACAAGAUGUUCGGUUUGGUCUCAAAUUCUGUUCACAUCAAAUUCACUGAAUACACAGAAGAUAAAGGUCUCAAGAAAAGCCAAGCCUAUGAUUUGAUACGCAACUACUUAUCCUCGAAAUCAACGGCUCGUGCUCAGAGGUUAAAGGCCAACGAAUCAAAAAACAGCAAAUCGUUGGUGCUUAGUUUGGACAAUCACGAAGCAGUUGAAGAUGUGUUCCAAGGUGUGAAGGUGGUGUGGUCUUUGAGCGUGUGGAAGAGUAAUGAUCAGGCUGAUUCUAGCGAGAAAAGGUACUUGACUUUGAGUUUCCAUAAUCGGUAUAGGGAGAUGAUCACAACGACUUAUCUUGAUCAUGUUUUGAGAGAAGGGAAAGAGAUUGGUUUGAAGAACAGAGAGAGGAAGCUUUACACUAAUAACUCGAGUCAAGAUUAUUCGGCUUGGAGAGAAGGAAGGUGGAGCAACGUUCCUUUUGAUCAUCCCGCAACGUUUGAGACUUUGGCUAUGGAUCUUGAGAAGAAAGAAGGGAUGAAAAAGGAUUUGAUUAAGUUUACUAAAGGGAAAGAUUAUUAUAGGAAGGUUGGGAAGCCGUGGAAGAGAGGUUAUCUGUUGUUUGGACCGCCGGGGACAGGGAAAUCGACGAUGAUAUCGGCUAUGGCGAACUUCUUGGAGUAUGAUGUGUAUGAUCUUGAGUUGACUACUGUGAAGGAUAACUCGGAGUUGAAGAAGCUAAUGUUGGAUACAAAAGGGAAGUCUAUUGUUGUGAUUGAAGAUAUCGAUUGUUCGCUUGAUCUUACGGGACAGAGAAAGAAGAAGAAGGAGGAAGAUGAGGAUGAAGAGGAAGAAGAAAAGAAGAAAGAAGCUGAGAAGUUGUUGAAGAGAGAAAGAGGUGAAAGAGAGAGUAAGGUUACUUUGUCGGGGCUAUUAAACGCCAUUGAUGGGUUGUGGUCAGCUUGUAGUGGAGAGAAGAUUAUUGUGUUUACUACGAAUUAUUUGGAUAAGCUUGAUCCAGCUUUGAUACGUAGAGGAAGAAUGGACAACCAUAUUGAGAUGUCUUAUUGUAGGUUUGAAGCGUUUAAGGUUUUGGCUAAGAACUACUUGGAGAUUGAGUCACAUGACUUGUUUGGAGAAAUCAAGCGAUUGGUGGAGGAAACUGACAUGUCUCCAGCUGAUGUUGCUGAGAACUUGAUGCCGAAAUCUGAUGAAGACGAUGCCGAUAUUUGCCUUACGCGGUUGGUUAAGUCUUUGGAGGAAGAGAAGGAGAAAGCAAAGAAGUUGGCUGAGGAAGAAAAGAUGAAGAAAGCAGCGAGGGAUGCAAGGAGGAUCAAGAAGAAAGCAGAGGAAGAACACAAAAAGAAGAAUAAAGUAGAGGAAAACGGCGACGUAUCUCACGAUAAUGGUAACCAUAUUUGAGGGAAGAUAUCACAAAAAGAGGAAGGAAAAUAGAUUGGAGCGUUGAUGUGAUGAAUUAGUAUUUGAGUCUACUCUUUCUUUAGGUUGUGUUUUGGUAUGGUGUUGUCAAGUAAGAAUUGAAAUGAAAUAAAUAAGUUUAUUGGUUCCAAUGUGUAAUCGUUCUUAUCAUAACUCAUCUCGCUAAAUGGUUACCUAUAAGGUGUUAUAUAUGUUAUACCGUGCCAAUCACUCCCAUGUUUGUUACUUUUUCUUGGAUAUUGAGGCAUUCACAAGAACAUUUAAGAUCUAAACAUCAAAUUUGUCACAUAAAAUAAAUCAUACGUGCGUGCGAAAUUUCAUAUUUUCAGAAAUGUGUUAUAAUAAUUUUUUAUUAAAUAUCUGAUUGUUUUGUUGUUUUAGUGAUAUAUAUUGUAUUGAAUAAAUUAUAAUAUACACAUAAAAGUAUAAAUGUUAUUUAUGUUUGCUUAUGACACAAUAGCAACCAUAAGUCAAUUUUUGGAGUUUGAAACUGAAGAGUAAAUUAGAAAAAAUCUUAGAUUGUUAUAUAAUAUAAGUUAGAUUGAUGUUAAAAAAAUUAUUUAUAUAGUUAUAGUAUCUAUAACCUAAACUCAUAUUAGUUGGUUGAAAUAUUUGAAAUAAUAAUGAUUUUAGUAAUAUUUAAAAUUCGUAACAAUCAAACAAUCGGACCGAGAUCAAACUGAAUCGAGUUAAUGGUCAGGUAGAUUUUUAUUAAACUUGUGAACAUUAAACUUGUAAACUAUCAAACCAUAUAUAAAACCGAUAAAGUGAGUAAAUACGUUUGCGAAAAAUAUAAUUAUUUAGAGUAAUUCCCAUUCAAUUUUAUCAUGUUCCAUUAUAUCUUACCCGUUCUCCAAUUUAUAUCUCAUAAGAGAAUGCAUCUCUAAUAUAAGAUAAAUUUUGUAUUCCCGAUUAGAAACAGGAGGUGACGGAAACAAAAAUUCUGGAUAUCCUGUUUGGGACAAACACAAAUAUAUUUAGUAUAUUUUUAUAUGAUAUGAAAUAAUAAAAAUAUUACAAAAGUAAUUGACUUCUUUAUUCUUAGUGUUUUAUAUUUUGUUCAUAAAUAUUAAAUUACAUUUGUUUGUUUUUUAAAUUUUAACUAUUAUAGAACAUACUAUAAUAACAUUUCUUAUUUUGAACAUUUUUAUGCUAUAUAAAUUGAAAACACAUGUUAUAUAUUUGAUGGCAAACGUUAAUUUGUUUGAAUUGUAACUUGUUCUAAUCUAAAAUCUAUGUUUUUAUCCCGUUCUAUCUUCUUCCUUGUCGUUCCUGUUUUGUAAUUCCUAUUCUCGUUAUAUCAUGUCCAAAGUUCAUUUUUGCUUAUAUUUAAACACCAUACAACAGACGGUUGUAAUUUUUGAGGAUUAACAUAUGUUCUGUUCAAAUUUGUAAAUAUACUGUAAAUUAAAAUAUGAAAACAAAUUGAAAAAAUAAAUGAUCUAUCAACUAUAAUAUGUCAUACUCAUACAUUUGUUCUUGUGUAUACAUGUAUAUGAAAACAAAAUUAUAUUUACUAUUUAAUAUAAAUGCAAAAAUAAACACCGACUUGAUAUAUUAUCUUAAAUCCAGAAAUCCUGUUGUUGAUAUAAUAUAUAAUUAAUCAAAUAAAGAUAUUUGAAUUUAUUUGAUAAACUUGCUUCAUAACUCCAAGAAACGAAUCUUACCAAAAUCAUAAAACUAAGAGAUAGUUUAAUGUGAAUAAAUUUAGAAAAUCAUUUUAAAUUAAUUUUUAAAAAUAUGUUAACUAAAAAAUAUCUUGUAAUUAGUUAAUUAGUCAUCUUGAUUUAAAUUAAAUAGUUCCCUAAAUUUAAUAUUUUUCACUUCGAAAUAUUUACAUUAAAAAUUUAAAAACGUUAUGUUUUCUUCUUAAAUCUAAUUUAAGAUUAAAGUAAAAAAAACAAAAAAAGCAAAAUCAUUGAUAAUUAAUUAUAUUGCUUCAAAAGCAGUACUUUUCAAAACGUCAUUUUCAAUGCAUAAAAUUGCUAAACCGUUCAAACUUUCUUGAGACAUUGAUGAUCUCAAAUAAUUUUUCAGCACGCUUAGAGAAACUUCUUUCCAUUGAGGCUACUGUCACAAGAGUGGUUAGUAAAAUUCGAUAAGCAAUAAAGAUAUUUGGAUAACAACCAAUAGUAUUCACAAACUCUAAAAUCUCAAUAGGUGCCAUCACUUCAUUAUGUAAAGUUACCUGCAAUAUUUUUAACCCAGAAAAAACUCAUCCAAGUCAACAUCCGAUGAACCACUAUGAAAAAAUGUAUUAUAAAAAGUAGUGCAACGUUCUCUUAAUUCAAUAGCAUCAAGUGACUUUAGCUUCACUGAAUUAUAUAAGAAUCCAAAAACAGUCUCAAACGUUCUCAUUUCCACAAUUUUACUUUUCAAAGAAGCAAUUGCCAUAUACACAAUAACCUAAAAUAAUCAAAAUUAAAAGUAUCCUCAGGGGUUUGAAUUACCUCAUCAUGACUGAUCUCAUCAAACUGUUUUCCCUAAACCUUCUACACUUACUUAGAAAUUAGGCAUCAACAUCCAUGUCAUCAGCAAAACUUUUAGCUACAUUCAUACUUGAACUAAAUCCAUCAAUUCUAUAAUUUCCAAAAAAAAAACGACACUACACCUUCUACUUGCUUCAUUGCACUAUCAAUACAAUUAGAUUUAGCUUGUAAUUUUUUACUAACCAUGUUAAUAGCAAAUAAAAUGUCAUGCCAAAUAAUCAUUCCAAGUAAGAACUCAAAAUUUUCAAGUGCAUCAAACAAACUUUCAGUCUCACUCUUUGAUAUAGCAUCUUCACACAAGGUAUAUAUUUCAAGUAAAGUUGGCCUUAUUUGAGGAGCUUGAUAUCUUAUAGCCUUGAUUCUCCCAUCGAGUAUUAGACAUAUUUUUUACCGUAAAAGAUGGAACAUGCUUAAGUAAAAUACUCCAUCUUUUGGUAGAGCUUGUAAAUAUAGUAUAGAUGCGUUGCACAAUUCCAAAAAAAAGAUACAACUUUCAAGCAAGAAUGUGCCAUGUCACUAACAACAAGAUUCAAGCUAUGACAAGUACAAGGUAGAAACAAUGCUUUCGGAUUAAUUUCUAGCAAUCGCUUUUAAACUCUUUGAUGUUUUCCUUUCAUAUUAGAACCAUUAUCAUAACCUUGUCCUCUCACAUUCUCAAUAUCAAAAUCAAGCGACUUAAGAGCAUUUUGUAAUUCUUUAAAGAGGUCUAGUCCCGAUGUAUCAUCUACCUUUAAGAACUCUAAGAAAUACUUUUCUAUUCUUAUUUUUCCACUUGACAUAUUCACACAUCGUACUAUUAUACUCAUUUGUUUUUGAUGACUAAUGUCAAGUGUAUAAUCAAAGAUAAUAGAGAAGUAUUUUGCCUCUUUAAUAAUACAGGGGAUAGAAAGUCCAACCUUAUAAGCAAGAAGAGAAAUCAGCUCAUUCUGAUUAUCAUGCCCAAGAUAGUGAUGAUGUAUCUUAUGAGUUUGGAUGCGUCUAAUAUGAUCCUUCAUAAUCAGAAUGAGCUGAUUUCUCUUCUCUCUUAUAAGGUUUCAGCAAUCAUCUCAAUCAUUCCUAAAAAAUUACCAUUACUAUUUUGGUAAAGUAUAUCACUUGAACCUCGAAAUGCCAAAUUUCUUUUCAAGAGACAUUUUAUAACAUAAAUUAUUCUGGAAAAAACUUGUCCCCAACGUUCUUUUUCUUUUGCAAUUUAUUUCUGGAAUUCUUAAUCAAUAGUUUGAUUACUUAGAAAUCUAACUUUUAAGUCAUUCCAAAUCCUCAUACUAGCCAUAUGCUCCACAUUUUUCUCAUGAUUUUUUUAGUCUAUCACUAAUAUGUUUCCAAUCUCUUAAACCUUUUCUUGCUAGUAAACUUAAUUGACCAUGAGAUUGAAAUAACUUACAGCAAAAACAAUACACUUUAUCCAGAUGCUGUAAGUAAAUCCACCACUUUCUAUCAUCAAUGUCUCCAUUACACAACUUUCUAAAAUAAUACUUAUAUGCAAAAUGCCUUUUAGUUACAUCAUCAAUAGGAUACACAAUAUUCAGUUUUCUUUUAGGUCCUUUUUCAAUCAACAAAUCCCUUGUUUUACUGUCAAGAUUAUUCCAAAUUAAAAAAAAAAAAAAAAGAUUAUUCCAAUUUCUAGGGUCAUAGAUAUCAAAAGGUGGAAGUUCAUCAUCAACAUUCACGUUUUACAUAUUAGAUGGAUUUGACAUGUUCUCAUGAGACUCAUUUACAUUAUCAUCUACAUUUUCACUUGAAUGAUCAUGAGGAUUGACACUAGGUUCUACACUAGGAAUGGCUGAAGCUUGACUAGGGAUUGUCGCAAGUGCAGGUGUUAUGAAGAAAUGUAGGCUUCGGAAAUUAACUUAUUGUUAUUUUGAUCUUAAAAGUUUAUGUACUAUAAAAGAAUGAUAAUGUACAAGAGCAGUUCUUGAUUUACAAUUUUGGGAAUGCGUCGUAAUUGCUUCUUGUGUGAGUGUAUUUUUAUCUAUACCAGAUUUAGGUCAAUGAGUAGGUAGGAAAAAAAACUUCCUUAAGUGAAAAAAACCUUGAGGAUGCAAUGAUUUAAAAAAAUCCAUGCAAUUUAGGUAUGCAGUCCAUAAACAUGUCCCAUGUUAUAAGAUUACAUAAUUAUCUAAAGCUACAAAGUCAAGAAUGUGAACUACGUAAUUCAAAUUUGCAAAGAACUUCAUAUAGAUUGCAAGCAAACUUAAAACAAAUAAAAGUAAAAGCAUUAAACCAUUUGAAGAUUUUGAAGCAAAAUAUUUAAUCAAAUAGGCAGAAUUAAAAUUUAUUAGAUAUGAAUAUCAUGAAGAACAAAAGCAAAGAUGAAAUGAAAUAAAACUUGGUAGCUUAUAUAAGAAUCUCAUUACAAUUUCAAGUAAUACGAAGGUGAAUGUGAAGCUUAGUACUCAGUUUUUGGAGAAGGUGAGUAUGAUGGUGGUGGUGGAGAACUGUAGACAUAUGGUGGUGGAGGAGAUUUGUAGUCAACCUUAGGGGAAGGUGAGUAGUAUGGUGGUGGAGGAGAUUUGUAGUCAACCUUAGGGGAAGGUGAGUAGUAUGGUGGUGGUGGUGAACUAUAGACGUAUGGUGGUGGUGGAGAUUUGUAAUCUACCUUAGGGGCAGGUGAGUAGUAUGGUGGUGGGGGUGAGCUGUAGACAUACGGUGGUGGGGGAGAUUUGUAGUCUACCUUCGGGGAAGGUGAGUAGUAUGGUGGUGGUGGUGAGCUAUAGACGUACGGUGGUGGAGGAGAUUUGUAGUCUACUUUAGGGGAAGGUGAGUAGUAUGGUGGUGGUGGUGAGCUGUAGACGUACGGUGGUGGGGGAGAUUUGUAGUCUACCUUAGGGGAAGGUGAGUAGUAUGGUGGUGGUGGUGAGCUGUAGACGUACGGUGGUGGGGGAGACUUGUAAACUACUUUAGGAGAAGGAGAGUAGUAUGGUGGUGGUGGUGAGCUGUAGACGUACGGUGGUGGGGGAGACUUGUAGACUACCUUAGGAGAAGGAGAGUAGUAUGGUGGUGGUGGAGAACUGUAGACAUACGGUGGUGGAGGAGACUUGUAGACUACCUUAGGAGAAGGAGAAUAAUAUGGUGGUGGUGGAGAACUGUAAACGUAUGGUGGUGGGGGAGACUUGUAGACUACCUUAGGAGAAGGAGAGUAGUAUGGUGGUGGUGGAGAACUGUAGACAUACGGUGGUGGGGGAGACUUGUAGACUACCUUAGGAGAAGGAGAAUAGUAUGGAGGUGGUGGAGAACUGUAAACAUACGGUGGUGGGGGAGACUUGUAGACUACCUUAGGAGAAGGAGAGUAGUAUGGUGGUGGUGGAGAACUAUAGACAUACGGUGGUGGGGGAGACUUGUAGUGUACCUUAGGGGAAGGAGAGUAAUAUGGUGGUGGUGGAGAACUGUAGACAUACGGUGGUGGGGGAGACUUGUAGUGUACCUUAGGAGAAGGAGAGUGAUAUGGUGGUGGUGGAGAACUGUAAACGUACGGUGGUGGGGAGGACUUGUACACAACCUUUGGAGAUGGAGAAUAACAUGGAGGAGGUGGUGGACAGACACAUACAUGAGGGUGUGGUGGAGAUUUGUAUAGAACCUUAGGGGAUGGUGCGUGGUAUGGUGAUGGAGGAGACUUGUAGUAUACUUUAGGAGAAGGGGAGUAGUAUGGUGGUGGUGGAGAACUGUAAACGUAUGGUGGUGGGGGAGACUUGUAGACUACCUUAGGAGAAGGAGAGUAGUAUGGUGGUGGUGGAGAACUGUAGACAUACGGUGGUGGGGGAGACUUGUAGACUACCUUAGGAGAAGGAGAGUAGUAUGGAGGUGGUGGAGAACUGUAAACAUACGGUGGUGGGGGAGACUUGUAGACUACCUUAGGAGAAGGAGAGUAGUAUGGUGGUGGUGGAGAACUGUAGACAUACGGUGGUGGGGGAGACUUGUAUAAAACCUUUGGUGAAG